CUUAUUACUCACUAACCCAAAUACUAGCAUUUUUCCUAGUAUUUUAUCUUCUCAUGUGCAGUUUCAAGACCCUAGAAGUCCCAAAGAGAAGCCCAAGAAAGUUUUCUUUAAGCCCUUGGCAGAACGUGAUAUGAGAAUAAUCAUGAAAAUAGACUUAUGUGGGUAUGCACUGAAAGCAACCAAGUGUAUAUGCAAGAGAAGUGUAAUUAAAGUCCCAAAUACACAUCAAAACAGCCCACUCCAUACACUAGAGGGGCAGCCCAUUCUUGAAGGGCCUUUUUGGUCAUUUUAACUUCUAUUUGUUUUAUAAUAAGGAACAUGUUAGGGUUUAUUCACUUAGUUUUUGAAUGUUAAAAAUGGUAGAACACACUUAAAACCCUCAAGUUCUCUCUCUUGUGAGGGGCUUGGCGGAAACUAGGUUACAACAUUAGGGUGGAAUCUCUUUUGUUGUUUGUUUUCUUGAAACUUGGAGUGCUUGAAGGAUUGAGGUCCUCUCUUGUGUCUCUUUGAAGAGUGUAGGUGUUCCUACUAUCAUCAUUAAGGGUCUUUGUGUGUCAUCUACACUUAAGUUCUUAGUCAUUAUAGUAGUUUAUGUCUCACUAUCUAUCCCUUUGUCUUUUGAAAUCUUGUAACAUUAUAUCUUGUUGUUUUGGAAUCUGAAUUUGGUUAUUCUUCUUGUCAUCUUGUUCAUCUCGUUAUUGUUAUGUUGUUGGAUGUUUUUGGGUGUCAAAUACACCCUUGUUUCUUGUAUUCUUGUUGAUGCUUGUAAUGUUGAUCUAGAUGAUGAAUAUGGUCCUUUGAACUUGUGUGAUGAAAUCCAUGAGUUUAGUCUUGCUCAUAGUGACCAUGUGUAUGUCAAAGUUGUGAGUAAUGCCUUGGGUAAUUGUGGGCUUAAUUUUCUAGUAAAAGGAAUGAGUAGCCUCGGCUUAUGCCCUUGGCUACUUCAUCUAUUUGAUCCUGAUGCACUAAUGGGGUGGGAGAAAAAUUGUCUCAUUUGGUGCUCAUUCCCCCUUGAUGUUUGUCUUAUCUCUAUCCUUUGUAAUGCUCACACUAGAUGUUUCAUUGUCAAAACAAGAGAUUGUUGGUUGUACUUUAAAAGUGUACCCCCUCGUCAUGAAUUUUUCAUACUUGAUUCCUUCCUAUACUACCUCUUUACCUAUGAUGAUAACCAUGUUAAUUUUAAAUAUGUAAUAUGUGUAGGUAGUAAGUUUGGUGGCUGGAUUCCUUGUUUGAAUGAUAAUGAUAUGUGGGUGAGGUGGACCUUAGGAUUAAUAGUGGAACCAUAUUUGAUGAGGUCCUUUAUAGAGGUAAUGAAACAAAAGCUAUCUUAUGGUUCCUAAGUCAAAGGUAGUCUUACCUUUUUAGUAUAGUAAAGCCAUUAAGAACAUUGUAGUUUCCUUAUCUCUUGAUAUUGGCUAAAACCACCUAUUUUGUGCCAUUUAUGCUAAGCUUUUCAUGUCACACACAAAGGACCCGUGGUUGUAUUUCAAAUGUGAACAACCUUGGCUUGUUGAUAUAUGUGAUGGUGAUUUCAGGUCGCACUCUUAUUUCUUUGAUGUACAUCUUAGUCAUGUCCUUUGUAAUGCUUGUAGUAAGUGUUUCAUGAUUAUAACAACGGAUUAUUGGCUAUAUUCCAAGAGUGUACCCCCUUGGUGUGUUUGUAUAAUUGUGGCACUAAUGCUAACCCUCCUAUCAUGAGGAUUGUGUGCUUGUUCUUCCUCUCUUUGGUUUUGCAAGGUGGGAAUUUGAGGUCAAAUUCCUUUCAAGGUGGAGAGGAUGAUACAAUCAUAAAAAGUACAAGGAUUAUAAGGUCUUGUAGAAGGUUCAAGCUUUGGAUUGUCAAAGGAUUAAGUCUCGGAUUUACAAGUGCUUGAAGACAUUUUGGAACCAUUACAAAGCCUUGUCCAAAUUGAAGAGAGGAGGAGGGAUCUCUACAUCACAUAGGCGCCUCAACUAAGGGCAUUGUGGUCUUUUAAGACUUCCCUUUACCACUCUAAAUGAGCAACCUUCAUUAAGGCAUUUUAGUCAUUGUUAUGUAAUAGUAUAAAUAGACCGUUUAGCUUCCAUUUUUAUUAGACUUUGAUGAAUUGAAAUGGAGUAUUAUUCUUAGUGUAGUUUCUUUCCUUAGUUUAGGGAUUGGAAAAGCCAUCUUAGUGUAGGUCUUGGAAAAGACAUCCAAACUUGAGAGAUUAAUACAUUUGAUGGAUUUCACUUGUGUUGAUCAAUUUGUAAGAAAGGUGUGAUUGAAGAGUGUGAAUUCCUUUGGUCCACCUAAGAGUUAGGUUUUAACUACUAUUGGUGAGGUGUGUUUGAAUGUUUGAGACACACUCUUGUAUUAAUCAUUGGUGAUAGUAAGGGUCUCAUUACCUAUCACAUUUAUGCUAUCUUCUUCUUCAUCUCCUUUCUAUGUGUUGUUUUCCUUUACUUGUGGUUGCUGAUUUUUAUGUCUUUAGUAUCCAUUUUCAGUUUUAGUAGUUUAUUCUUGUAUCACUUGAGCUGUUAAAAGACUAUGUGUUGAUAUCUUAUAUCAUCCGAGGAAAGCAAAUGUGGUAGCCGAUACUCUAAGUCGGAAGGUGAUGGCAAGUAAUUAUAGGAAGACCGCGGAAUGUCAAGGGAUAACUAAAGAUCUACAUCAAUUAGCUAGCUUGGGGGUUCGCCUUCUUGAAUUUUCAGACAAAGGCAUUAUUGUGCAAAAUGCAGCAGAAUCCUCAUUUGUAGCCGAAGUUAAAGAGAAGCAAUACAUAGAUCCUAUUCUUUUACAGCUUAAGGAGAAUGUACAACAAGGUAUGACAAAGGCAUUUGAGCUUACAGAAGAGGGAAUACUUUGGUCCUAAAACAAAUUAUAUGUACCAAAUGAAGAUGGGCUACGAAAGCAGAUUAUGAUAGAGGCACAUCAUUCAAGAUAUUCUAUCCAUCCUGGUUUAACUAAAAUUUAUCAUGACUUAAAGAGGUGUAUUGGUGGGGCGACAUGAAGAAGAACAUUACCAAAUUUUGUAGCUGAAUGUAUAAAUUGUCAACAAGUCAGAGUGGAGCACCAAAAGCCAGGAGGUUACAUCAGCUUAUAGAGCUCCUAACUUAGAAGUGGGAUAUGAUCAACAUGGAAUCAUCAUUGGUUUACCUCUCUCAUCUCAAAAGUUCAAUUCUAUAUGGGUAAUAGUUGAUAGACCCACCAAAUCAGUACACUUCCUACCAGUUAAGGCCACGUACAUGACUGGAGAGUAUGCAAAAUUAUAUAUUAAAGAGAUAGUUCGGCUUCUUGGUGAUACAAGCAUGAAGAGCACAAAGAGUACAGGUCUUGUAGAAGGUUCAAGUUUCAGAUUUUUCAAGUGAUUGAAGACCUUUUUGAAGCCAUUUCAAAACGUUGUCUAAGUAAAGAAAAGAAGAGGGUUCCCACACUCAAGAGGUGCCUCAAGUGAAGGUUAAUGAAGAUAUUUUACACUUACACUCAAGAGGCGCCUCCUUUAAGCUCUCAAUAAGGGCAUUUUUUGUCACUUGGCAUGUAAUAGUAUAAAAUGACCAUUUCUUCAAUCUUUUUAUUAGACUUUGAUAAAUUGAAAUUGAGUAUUACUCUUAGUGUAGUUUCUUUCCUUAGUGUAGGGCUUGGAAAAGCCAUCUUAGUAUAGGUCUUGGAAAAGAUAUUAAAAAAACUUGAGAGUUUAAUACAAUUGAUGAAUUUCAUUUGUGUUGAACAUUUGGCAAGAAAGGUAUGAUUGAGAAAGUGUGAGUCUUUUGGUCCACCUAAUGAUAUGAGUACGAGCAUGAUCGGGGUCCAAUGCGUCAAAACUCAAGCUUGGGGGGCUGCCCAUCCAAGGAACAAACUUUAAAGUAUAGAGAACAAGUCCCACAAGCUCCAAAACUGUUUCACUGUUCAUCCGCGUUCACUGUUCAUCCGCCCUUUGCAAGGGUUUUUUAGUCAUUUGUAAUAAGUUAACCUAGGUAUAAAUAGAGCCUCAUUAGGUCAUUUUUGGGAGAUUAUAUUUUUUAGCCUCUUUGAGAGUCUUUAGCAAGGUGGAAUCCUUGUGUUGAUCAUUUUCUUAGAAACGGAGAUUGCUUGGGAAUUUUGAUUCCCUUGAGGUCACGUAAGAGAUAGGUUUAGGUUGUGUGUGAUAUUAAAGGUCCAAAAUUAGAAUAAGCUUUUGGGUUGUUAAUAUUAUACCAUUCCUUGGUCUAUCUAUCUAUCUUUACUUUCUUGUUAUCGUUUGUCUAUAUCUAUGUAAUCGGUUUGUAUUCUUGUCUUGUAAUCAUGUGUUGUUGUUAUUGCAUCUUAUUCAUCAAGUGUUGUUUCUAUUUUAGUGUGUUUUACUCUUGAUAUCACUUCCCUUCUUGUUCUUCUUGCUAAUUCGAGAGAGGUCAUCAAAAGGGUCCAUAGUUCUUGAACUAGUGGACUGAUUUUGGUGUUUGUGUUGUUGUGUUCUUGGGGAGUUUUGGUACCAUUUGGUAUCCGAGCAAGGCUGGUUGUAUUCCAAAACACCACUACCAAUCUUGGGUUCUCUUGGACGAAAAUUAAAAAAAAAAAAAAAAGAGCUGAAAACUGAAAAAAAAAUUCCAAAGUGCAAAUCUGUCCAUUUUGUGUUCUUGGCCAAAAAUUGUGUUGUUGUUAUCUUGGCCAAGAUUUGUUUGUUGUAUGUCUAGAACUUGUAGUCUUUUUUUUAGAGUGUUUCUAGUGUUGGUUUCUUUCUCAUCAAUACUAGAAAGUGUCCAAAUCUAAGAUUGAACUUGAACUUGUUGAAGUUGUUGAUGUGAACAAGGUGUGGCCGAGUUGGAUGUUGUUGUUACCGAAACCUUGGCCGAUUUGAUGGUUUUGUUGUAGUGGAGUUGGAAACUAAAAUUGUUGUUGUUCUUGGAGUUGUUGUUGUGUUCUUAAGGUUCUUCACCCUUUCAUCAUCUUGUUAAUCCUUAAAGUGCAAACUAGAUCUAAAAAGGUNNNNNNNNNNNNNNNNNNNNNNNNNNNNNNNNNNNNNNNNNNNNNNNNNNNNNNNNNNNNNNNNNNNNNNNNNNNNNNNNNNNNNNNNNNNNNNNNNNNNNNNNNNNNNAAGUCAAGUUUUGCUUUUGAAAUUUGAACAAAAAGGCUCCAAGACCACUUUUCCCUCCAUUAACCAAAUCCACCAAUUCCAAAUUGUAUAUUGAUCAAGACUUGAAAUUGGGAAAUAAAAUUUUGAUAAAACUCGAGGCCAAUAGUGGACUGCCACAUCACUAAAGUACUGUUCAUGCAACAUUUUUGAGUUCAAAUUUUAGAUUUCUUAGUUUCAUUUUAUUGUUUCCUACUUUCAAUUGUUUGCUCGACACUAAUUGACAACCUAGUAAUACCCUACUAGCUUGUAAGUUAGUUUUGUGUACAUUCUUCAUGUUAACGUUGUUUGUUGUGUGCUUUUCUCAUUUUUGAGUCGUAGUAUCUUUUUUGGUUUAAGUUCAUACAUUACUUGUUUGAGUCGUUUCAAACAAGAAUCUACUCUGACCUCAAGCCACAAUUGGGACCAAGUAACCUUAUUGGAGUAUAAACGAGUUAUCAACACUUGUAAGGCCAAUAGAGUGAAAAAUUCAAAGUGUGAAAGUGAGGGAUUGUGGACUAUUUUGAGAUGCACUGUGGACUGUUUUGUGACAAAUUGUGUAUUAAUUUUUGCUAAUCUUUAAUGUGUUUGUUGUUUUCGUGUUGUUUGCUUAGUAGCUCUUGAUGGGUACAAUGGCGAAUGAAGCUGAAAUGCCUAGUUGGGUUAAAUCCAUCAUGUCAAGACUUGAUGCCAUAGAUAGCCGAAUAAUGGAUAGAAUGGAAGAAAGAUUGGAAGGGACGGAAGAUUCUCUGUGCAAAAAGUUGGAUAACUUGAUGGAGCAUCCAAACCUUCCUAAUAAAAUUCCCUUGAGUGGCCAUGCUCCACAUGAGCUACAAGGUAAUCAAACUAACUUUUGCACUCUAGUGAAUGAGGAUAAUAGCCAACUAAGUGUGAAUGAUAGUUUGUCUUUAAGUGAGCCGAAUGUGCCUUCAUUUUGUAAUGAUAAUGUACAACUUGAAAUUGUGGAUACACUAGUUGAUUUACCUAGUGUUGAAGCCAUUGUGGAAAGUGGUAGUACAUUGUCUUAUGGAAGUCAUGAAGACCAACUUGUGUGUAAAAAUGAUGAUGUUGAACAUGUUGGCCGUAUGACUAAGGAUGACCCUUUAGUUGUUUGUCACGCCUCAAACCCUAUUGGGGCGGACAGGUACUCGUAGCCAUAAAGGCUCGAGAGAACCAAUUCAAAAACUUGUACUUCCCAUGCAUGUAACUAUAACAACUAAAGGUUCUGAAAAACAUGAUAUUAUCUAUCGAUAAUUACAUAUGCAAAUACAAACUGAUAUAUACAAUACUUGGCCGUUGGGGCCACCACAUCUAAAGACCAAAUACUACCAUAACUUUAUAUUAGUCUACAAAGCCUCUAAAAGAUACAUGGACUUAGUUAGGGUCGGCACAAACCCCCACCCUACUCUUGACUAGUAUAAUACCAAAAUAUAUGGAACAAACUCGGAAAGCCCCAAAUCAACUUGGAGCUCACCAAUAGCCCCUGAAAAGUUUGUGCAUCUACUAGUGAGUUAUAUGAGCUGAAGUGCCUGUGCCUGCAGCAUGAAAUGCAGGUCCCACGUGAGGGACGUCAGUACAAAAAUAUGUACUCAAUAUGUAAGGCAUAAGGUUGUACACACUUGAUACAAAAGCUCAAUAGAAAUUUGAUACAAGUGUAUAAGUAGUACUAGUAGACCACCUUUAUAAAUUACUUGUGGCACAAUGUACAUUACAUUCUUUUCUUCAUUUUACCUUCUUACUUUGUAAUCUUUGUAAGCCAUAUAAUGCAAAUGACCAGCUGAUCAGUGGUAAAUAGAUAAAUUAGGAUCGGCCCAUUCUAGGCUUACGCCCCUGAGCUGCCACCUACAUAUAAAAAUUGGGAUCGACCCAUGCUUAUGCCCCUGCCACCCACAAAUAAAGAUAUCGAGAUCGGCCCAUGCUAGGCAAAUGCCCCUAAGCUGCCACUCGUCGUUUUACAGAUUUGCAUUACUUAGUUUAUUUAGCCUUUGAGAUUUUUACUUUGGUGGUCAUCACAUUAUGGUACCUUGAACCAGUAAUACGCUAAUAAAAGACAUGUAAAUAGACACUUAAUGCAAUAACAAUGAGGUAGGGAGCUGUUGGCACACAAAUAAAGUGUUUAGGAGCUGAAAUAACACAUGGGUCUUAUUUGAACAAACGGAGAACUCCUGAAAUUUUCUAGUGAAGAUAGACGCGCAGAUUUAAUAAUAAGCACGCAUUGAGGUGUUCUAAUGCAUUAGAGAGUGGGAACAAGGUCAUUACAUGGAUGGAGUGUAAUGUGCUGCUAUUAUGUAGCACUUUGUUAUAGGAUAACCUCAGAAACUUGCUUGAUGGAACAAUUGUACGAUUUCAUGCCAAAGAGCAAUAAAGUAUGCCUUACAUACCUGGUUAUUUGACUCUGAAACUAACCUGACUUGACUUCUCGCCUUUUAGAUUACUUAUCUACAAUAUAAUAUAUGGUAAACUAGUAUUAGUAACCAAUCAACAUAUUUGAGAUACUUAAUUUCACGCAAAACAGUAAAUUGGGCAGCAAACAUUAGUUCAGUGGUGUAUCACCACAUCUUUCUUCUAUAAUUUAUUACAGACUCAUCACACCUUUAUCCAACUUCAACCUGGCAGCCCAUAACAUAUAGAUACAAAACAGUCCACAAAAUAGUCUCAAAUCCCUUUUAUUGUAGCAAUCAAUUAUUGAACUCAUCAUCUCUUGAGUUCUCAAUAACAAGACAUCUAUAAUCCCCUCUCAAAUUCAUAUAUAAGAAAAACAAAAUGGAGCAGUCACCUUACCUCAAUUCAGCAACUUAUUCUUUUAAUUGAACUCUUCAAGAGCUUGAACUUUCCUUCACACUUAAACCAAAGAAGAAGAAAAAAAGUUCCUCAAUAACAAGGGAACGUGAACAAACAACUUGUAAUCAGCCAUAUACUUAUAGUCAAACACUUAUAACUUGUUUUCCUAAUCUUCCAUGAGAUAAUUAAACAAAACCUUAAGUGUUUUUCACUUUCCUUGGGCUGCAAAGGUGAGGGUUUCUUCAAGAACCCUAGAAGGAAAAACAGGGCUGCUGUUCUUGUUGUUUUAGAGAGAGUAGAGAGAUUUGCUGAAAUAUACUCCUUUUUUUUUGGACCAUAAAAUUGGUCAAAUUGGUCCAAGUAGGUGAUGCACCUACUUAAGGGUCCAAGCUGCUGAAACUUCAAAGUAGGUGAUGCACCUACUUGCUUAAUUUCUUAUUGGGAUCAAUUAUAUUUGGGCCUUGACAGAUUGGUGUGUUGGGCCAUUUAUCCAUUUGCUUUCUCUUUUAUUCAAUUUGGCCCAAAUGAAUAUAUUAGCAUAGACCCAAAUCUGAUCCAUAGCCAUGGGUCCAUUAAUUUGGUCCAAACAACUUGAGUAGGUGACUCACCUACUAGCUUAAAUAAGUUAAGCAAGCACCUCAAUAUUUUUCUCCAUUUCCAGCUCCUAAUCCCUUUAAUCUAACCUUCAACUUAUACACACUUGUUCACUUUAAACUUUAGAUUCAAAUACUCGCUUUCGAUUCCAAGUUUAAAUAGUCAUCUUAAAGUUAACUUAGUCGCAUCACAUUAAACUGUACGGGCAACAUCUAUAAUUCCAUCUAUACCAUUAAUACUUGCAUAAAAAUUCUCAUACGUUAUAUAUAUCAAAAGCCUAUACCAAGUUCCAUAUAAUUAGAAUAAGAAAAUACGGGAUGUUACAUCCUCCCCCUCUUAGAAACAUUCGUCCUUGAAUGUUAGCAUAAUUGUACAACCAAAACAAGUUCAAGCCUAAGUUUAAUAUCCCUAUUACCACAUAGUACCUAUAUAUUUUACACUUACUUGUUACUGCUCCAAUUCAGCAUCUUGGACUUUUUCUUCGUAUUUGAACAAAUGGGGGUACUUGGACUUCAUCGCUUCUUCAGCUUCCCAUAUGAUCUAAAGUACUUUUACAGAAGCUAUUACCUUGUUCCUCAACUUAUUAAACUAUCGAUCUAGAAUAGCAAUAGGUAUUUCCUCAUAGGUGAGAUCUUCUGUAAUUUGUACAUCUGUAGUAGGGGUAAUAUGAGAUGGAUCUCUAUUGCACUUUCGAAGAAUUGAGAUGUGAAAUACAGGAUGAACUGUUUAGAGCUCUUGGGGUAGCUCUAAUUCAUAAGCAACUUGGACAAACCUCCGGGUAAUCUUGUAUGGGCCUAUAUAACUUGGACUUAGUUUUGCUUUCUUACCAAAUCUCAUAAGCCCCUUUAUUGGUGAUACCUUCUAGCCACAGUUGGAUCACUUUAACCUUUUCCAUAGAUUGAUGAACAAGAUCUAGCCUGAAAAAGGCAGUUUCACCCGCUUCAAACCAUCCAAUUGGUGAUCUAAACUUUCUUCCAUACAAAGCUUCAUACGGUGCCAUUUUGAUACUUGAAUGAUAGCUAUUGUUGUAGGCGAACUCAAUGAGAAGUAAAUGAUCAUCCCAACUACCUUUAACGUCUAAUACACAAGCUCAUAGCAUAUCUUCGAGUGUUUGAAUGGUACAUUCUGCUUGUCCAUCUGUUUGAGGGUAAAAAGUUGUACUUAGGUUCACUUGUGUUCCCAGAUUUCUCUGAAAAGAAUUCCAAAAAUUUGUUGUAAAUUGAGCUCCUCGAUCUGAUAUAAUAUAGAUUGGAGCUCCAUGUAGACGAACUAUCUUUUUAAUAUAUAAUUUGGCAUAUUCUUCAACUGUGUAAGUGGUCCUAACCUAUAGAAAGUGUGCUGAUUUGGUAAGCCUAUCAACUAUCACCCAUAUGAAAUCAAACCUUUGAGAUGUACGAGGUAAACCAGUGACAAAAUCCAUGUUGAUCAUGUCCCACUUCCAGAUUGGAAGAUCUAUACAUUGUAUAUAACCCCAGGGCUUUUGGUGCUCUACUUUAACUCUUUAACGGUUUGGACAUUCGGCUACAGAUUCUGCAAUGUUCCUCUUCAUGUCACUCCACCAAUAUAUUUAUGUCAAAUCUUGAUAUAUCUUAGUUGACCCUGGAUGGAUGAAAUACCUCGAACGAUGUGCCUCUUUCAUAAUCAUCUUUCUUAGCCCGUAUACAUUAGGCACACAUAAUCUAUUUUGGCACUGAAGUACUCCUUCUUGCAUAAGCUCAAAUGCUUUCGUCAUAACACAUUGCACAUUAACACUUAAGCUUUAAUAGAAUGGGAUCUGUAUAUUGCUUCUCAUUUACUUCAGCUACUAGGGAAGAUUCUAUAGCAUUAUAAACAAUAAGCCCUUCAUCUGAAGUUUCAAGAAGGCGAACUCCCAAAUUGGCUAGUUGGUACAAAUCUUUAAUCAUCCCUUUCCUUUCUAUAAAUGCCAUCAUAGCCUUAUGACUUAGUGUAUCAGCUACCAUAUUUGCUUUCCCUAGAUGAUACAAGAUAUCAACAUCAUAGUCUUUUAAUAGUUCAAGCCACCUUCGCUACCUCAAAUUUAGAUCCUUCUGGUUAAAGAUAUAUUGUAAACUUUUAUGGUCGGUAUAUAUGUCAACAUGAAUCCCAUACAAGUAGUGGCACCAUUUAUUUAAAGAAAAUAUAACUGCUGCUAGCUCGAGAUCAUGCGUAGGAUAGUUUUUCUCAUGUGGUCGCAAUUGUCUGGAGGCAUAUGCUAUUACUUUACCAUGCUACAUCAAUACACAUCCCAUACCAAUUCUUGAAGCAUCACAAUACAUCUUAUACCCUUCUGUGCCUUCUAGAAGUACCAAUACGGGUGUAGAAGUCAACUUAUUCUUCAGAUUUGGAAACUCCUUUCACAAGCAUCAUUCCAUUGAAACUUGGAUGCUUUAUGUGUUAGCUUGGUUAAAGAUGUAGAAAUUGAAGAAAAACCUUCAACAAAUCUUCUAUAAUAAUCUGCCAACCCAAGAAAACUACAAAUCUCCGUAGGCGUUGUGGGCCUUGGGUAACUCUUCAAAGCUUCUAUCUUUUGAGUAUCAACGUUUAUUCCUUCACUAGAUACAAUAUGACCCAAGAAUGUCACCGAUCUUAACAAAAACUCAUUUUUAGAAAACUUUGCAUAUAGCUUAUGAUCACAAAUAAUCUGCAACACCUGUCGUAAGUGAUUGGCAUGGUCCUCAUUUGAUCUUGAAUAAACCAGAAUAUCAUCUACAAAAACUAUCAUAAACACAUCCAAGAAGGGCUUGAACACCCUAUUCAUCAAAUCCAUAAAAGCUGUAGGUGCAUUAGUUAGCCCACAGGACAUGACUAGGAACUCGUAAUGACCGUACCGUGUUUGGAAAGCUGCCUUGGGUAUAUCCUUCUCUUUGACCCUCACUUGGUCGUAACCUGACCUCAAAUCAAUAUUUGAGAAACACUUGGCGCCUUGUAACUAAUAAAACAAAUCAUCAAUUCUUAAGAGGGGAUAUUUAUUUUUAAUAGUCACCUUAUUCAGUUGCCGGUAGUCAAUACACAUUCUCAAUGAACCAUCUUUCUUAUGCACAAAUAACACUGGUGUGUCCCAGGGGGACAUACUAGGCCUCAUGAAUCCUUUCUCUAGCAAGUCUUUCAAUUGCUCUUUCAAUUCUCAUAAUUCUGCGGGGCCAUUCUAUACGGAAGAACUGAGAUUGGUUAGGUUCCUGGAAUCACAUCAAUACCAAACUCCACUUCUCGUUCAGGAGGCAAACCUAGAAGGUUUUCAGGAAAUACCAUCAGGAAAUUCAUUUACGACCGGAAUGGUAUGAAGAGUUGGUGUCUCCGCAUUUCUUCAUUUUUACCUUUCUUACUUCAUAAUCUUUGUAAGCCAUAUAUAAUGCAAAUGACCAGCUAAUCAGUGGUAAAUAGUUAAAUUAGGAUAGUCCCAUGCUAGGCUUACGCCCCUGAGCUGCCACCUACAUAUAAAGAUUGGGAUCGGCCUAUGCUAGGCUUAUGCCCCUGAGUUGCCACCCACAAAUAAAGGUAUCGAGAUCGGUCCAUGCUAGGCAAAUACCCCUGAGCUGCCUCUCAUCAUUUUAUACAUUUGCAUUACUUAGUUUAUUUAGCCUAUGAGAUUGUUACUUUGGUGGUCAUCACAUUAUGGUACCUUGAACCAGUAAUACGCUAAUAAGAGACAUGUAAAUAGACACUUAAUGCAACAACAAUGAGGUAGGGAGCUGUUGGCACACAAAUAAAGUGUUUAGACGCACAGAUUUAAUAAUAAGCACCCAUUGAGGUAUUCUAAUGCGUUAGAGAGUGGGAACAAGGUCAUUGGAUACAUGGAGUGUACUCUGCUGCCAUUAUAUAGCACUUUGUUAUAGGAUAACCUCAGAAACUUGCUUGAUGGAACAAUUGUACGAUUUCAUGCCAAAGAGUGUGAAAUAGAGUAUGCCUUACAUACCUGGUUAAUUGAUUCCGAAACUAACCCGACUUGACUUCCCGCCUUUUAGAUUACUUAUCUAAAUAGAAUGUACGAUAAACUAGUAUUAGUAACCAAUCAACACAUUUGAGAUACUUAAUUUCACCCAAAACACUAAUCGGGCAGCAACUAUUAAUCUAUCAAACAAGGGUGUUAUUUUAACCCUUUUUUUUCCUCCAAUUACACCCACAUACCAUAUAGGUUCUUAUAAGGUUCACCAAAACUACCUCGACUUCAUAACACAUUCCAAACAAUACACAAAAUAGAUUGGGUAGCAAACAAUAGUUCGGUGGUGUAUCACCAUAUCUUUCUUCUAUAAUUCAUUACAAACUCAUCACACCUUUAUCCAACUUCAACCUGGCAGCCCAUAACAUAUACAUACAAAAUAGUCCACAAAACAGUCCCAAAUCCCUUUUAUUGUAGCAAUCAAUUAUUAAACUCAUCAUCUCUUGAGUUCUCAAUAACAAGACAUCCAUAAUCCUCUCUCAAAUUCAUAUAUAAGAAAAAUAAAAUGGAGCAAUCACCUUACCUCAAUUCAGCAACUUAUUCUUUUAAGUGGACUCUUCAAGAGCUUGAACUUUCCUUCACACUUAAACCAAAGAAGAAGAAAAAAAGUUCCUCAAUAACAAGAAAACGUGAACAAACAACUUGUUCUAUAAUCAGCCACAUACUUAUAGUCAAACACUUAUAACUUGUUUUCCUAAUUAAGCAAAACCUUAAGUGUUUUUCACUUACCUUGGGCUGCAAAGGUGAGAGUUUAUUCAAGAACACUAGAAGGAAAAAUAGGGCUACUAUUCUUGUUGUAUUAGAGAGAGUAGAGAGAUUUGCUCAAAUAUACUGCUUUUUUGUGACUUAAAAGUGAAGUAAAAUGACCGGCAACUUGGCCUUUUAAAGGACCUAUAUUGUCCACCUUCUUAGCUGCAUUUUGGACCAUAAAAUUGGUCAAAUUAGUCCAAGUAGGUGGUGCACCUACUUAAGGGUUCAAGCUACACGAAUUUUCAAAGUAGGCGAUGCACCUACUUUCUUAAAUUCUUAUUUUCGGCUUAAAUAACUCGGGCCUUUGGCAUAUUGGUGUGUGGGGAAGCUUAUCCAUUUUCUUUCUCUUUUGUUCAAUUUGGCCCAAAUGAGUAAGCAUAGACCCAAAUCUGAUCCAUAGCCUUGGGUCCAUUAAUUUUGUCCAAAAAACUUAAGUAGGUGACUUACCCUACUAGCUUAAAUAAGUCAAGCAAGCACCUCAAUAUUUUGCUCCAUUUUCAGCUCCUAAUCCCUUUAAUCUAACCUUCAACUUAUACACACUUGGUCACUUUAAACUUUAGAUUCAAAUUCUAGCUUACGAUUCCAAGCUUAAAUAGUUAUCUUAACGUUAACUUAAUUGCAUCAUAUUAGACUGUACGUGCAACAUCUAUAAUUCCAUCUAUACCAUUAAUACUUGCAUAACAAUUCUCAUACGUUAUAUAUAUCAAAAGGCUAUACCAAGUUCCAUAUAAUUAGAACAAGUGUAAGCAAAAUACGGGAUGUUACACCCUCCCUCCCCCCCUCCUUAGGAACAUUCAUCCUCGAAUGUUAGCAUAACUGUCUAACCAAAACAAGUUCAAGCCUAAGUUUAAUACCCCUAUUAUAACACAGUACUUAUUUCUUACACUUACUUGUUAUAGCUCCAAUUCAGCAUCUUGGACUUUCUCUUUAUAUUUGAACAAAUAGGGGUACUUAGAUUUCAUCGCUUCUUCCGCUUCCCAUGUUAUCUCUUCUACUUGUUGGUUCCUCCAAAACACUUUUACAGAAGUUAUUUCUUUAUUCCUUAACUUCUUCACUUGUCGAUCUAGAAUAGCAAUAGGUAUUUCUUCAUAGGUGAGAUCUUCCAUAACUUCUACAUCUUCAGUAGGGGUAAUAUGAGAUUGAUCACCCAUGCACUUUCGAAGCAUUGAGACGUGAAAUAAUGGAUGAACUGUUGAGAGCUCUUGGGGUACCUCUAAUUCAUAAGCGACUUGGCCAAAUCUCUGGGUAAUCUUGUAUGGGCCUAUAUAACAAGGACUUAGUUUUCCUUUCUUAUCAAAUCUCAUAACCCCCUUUAUUGGUGACACCUUCAAGAAUACCCAAUCACCUAUAGCAAACUCUAGCCCUCUCUUUCUAACAUCUGCAUAUGACUUGUGUCGACUUUGGGCUAUUUCUAGUCACUGUUGGGUCACUUUAACCUUUUCUAUAGCUUGAUGAACAAGAUCUGUCCCGAACAAGGUAGUUUUACUCGCUUCAAACCAUCCUAUUGGUGAUCUACACUUUCUUCCAUACAAAGCUUCAUAUGGUGCCAUUUUGAUACUUAAAUAAUAGCUAUUGUUGUAGGCGAACUCGAUGAGAGGUAAAUGAUCAUCCCAACUAUAUUUAAAGUCCAAUACAUAAGCUCAAACCAUAGCUUCAAGUAUUUGAAUAGUACAUUCUGAUUGUCCAUCUGUUUGAGGGUGAAAAGUUGUACUUAGGUUCACUUGUGCUCCUAGAUUUCUCUGAAAAGACUUCCAAAAAUUUGUCAUAAAUUGAGCUCCUCGAUAUGAUAUAAUAGAGAUUGGAACUCCGUGUAGCCGAACUAUCUCUUUAAUAUAUAAUUUGGCAUAUUCUUCAACUGUGUAAGUGGUCCUAACUGGUAGAAAGUGUGCUAAUUUGGUAAGCCUAUCAACUAUCACCCAUAUGAAAUCAAACCUUCGAGAUGUACGAGGUAAACCAAUGACAAAAUCCAUGUUGAUCAUGUCCCACUUCCAGAUUGGAAGAUCUAUACAUUGUAUAUAACUCCCGGGCUUUUGGUGCUCUACUUUAACUCUUUGACAGUUUGGACAUUUGGCUACAGAUUAUGCAAUGUUCCUCUUCAUGUCACUCCACCAAUAUAUUUAUUUCAAAUCUUGAUAUAUCUUAGUUGACCCUGGAUGGAUGGAAUACCUCGAAUGAUGUGCCUCUUUCAUAAUAAUCUUUCUUAGCCCGUAUACAUUAGGCACACAUAAUCUAUUUUGGCAUUGAAGUACUCUUUAUUGCAUAAGCUCAAAUACUUUGGUCAUACCACAUUGCAUAUUAACACUUAAGCUUUAAUAGAAUGGGAUCUGCAUAUUGCUUCUCUUUUACUUCAGCUACUAGGGAAGAUUCUGCAGCAUUAUAAACAACGCCCUUCAUCUGGAGUUUCAAGAAGGCAAACUCCCAAAUUGGCUAGUUGGUACAAAUCUUUAAUCAUCCCUUUCCUUUCUAUAGACGCCAGCAUAGCCUUACAACUUAGCACAUCAGCUACCACAUUUGCUUUCCUUGGAUGAUACAAGAUAUUAAUAUCAUAGUCUUUUAAUAGUUCAAGCCACCUCCGCUGCCUCAAAUUUAGAUCCUUCUAGCUAAAGAUGUAUUGCAAACUUUUAUGGUCAGUAUAUAUGUCAACAUGACUCCCAUACAAGUAGUGGCGCCAUAUAUUUAAAGCAAAUAUAACUGCUGCUAGCUCGAGAUCAUGCAUAGGAUAGUUUUUCUCAUGUGGCCGCAAUUGUCUGGAGGUAUAUGCUAUUACUUUACCAUGCUGCAUCAAUACACAUCCUAAGCCAAUUCUUAAAGCAUCACAAUACACCUCACAUCCUUUUGUGCCUUCUGGAAGUACCAAUAUGGGUGUAGAAGUCAACUUAUUCGUUAGAUCUUGGAAAUUCCUUUCACAGGCAUCAUUCCAUUGAAACUUGGAUGCUUUGUGUGUUAGCUUGGUUAAAGGUGCAGAAAUUGAAGAAAAAACUUCAACAAACCUUCUAUAAUAACCUGCCAACCCAAGAAAACUACGAAUCUCUGUAGGCGUUGUGGGCUUUAGCCAACUCUUCAUAGCUUCUAUCCUUUGAGUAUAAAGCUUUAUUCCUUCACUAGAUACAAUAUGACCCAAGAAUGCCACCGAUUUUAACCAAAACUCACAUUUAGAGAACUUUGCAUAUAGCUUACGAUCAUGAAGAAUCUGCAACACCUGUUGUAAGUGAUUGGUAUGGUCCUCUUCUGAUUUGGAAUAAACUAGAAUAUCAUCUAUAAAAACUAUCACGAACACAUCUAAGAAUGGCUUAAACACCCUAUUCAUCAAAUCCAUAAAAGUUGCGGGUGCAUUUGUUAGCCCAAAUGACAUGACUAGAAACUCAUAAUGACCGUACCGUGUUUGAAAAAUAGUCUUGGGUAUAUUCUUCUCUUUGAUCCUCACUUGGUGGUAACCUGACCAUAAAUCAAUCUUUGAGAAGCACUUGGCGCCUUGUAACUGAUCAAAUAAAUCAUCCAUUCUUGGGAGGGGAUAUUUAUUUUUAACAGUCACCUUAUUCAGUUGUCGGUAGUCAAUACACAUUCUCAAUGAACCAUCUUUCUAAUGCAUAAAUAACAUUGGUACGCCCUAGGGGGACAUACUAGGCCUUAUGAAUUCUUUCUCUAGCAAGUCUUUCAAUUAUCAUAAUUCUGCUGGGGCCAUUCUAUACAGAGGAACUGAGAUUGGUUGGGUGCUUGGAAUCACAUCAAUACCAAACUCCACUUCUCGUUCAGGAGGCAAACCUAGAAGGUCUUCAGGAAAUACAUUAGGAAAUUCAUUUACCACCAAAAUAGUUUGAAGAGUUGGUGGCUCCGUAUCUGUAUCCUUCACUCUAACUAGAUGAUAUAUGUAACCUUUGGAAGUCAUUCUUUUUGCCUUAAAAUAGUAAAUAAAUUUACCUCUUGGCGCACCACUAUUACCUCUCUAUUCAAGGACUGCGUCUUUUGUAAAAUGGAAAUACACCCUUUUAGUUCGGUAAUCUACAGUGGCAAUAAGAUGCUAGCUAGUCCAUACCCAUUAUAACAUCAAAAUCUACCAUUCCCAGCUCAACAAGAUCAGCCAUCAUAUCGCGAUCGUAAAUAGUUAUAAUACAAUUUCGAUAAACCCUUCUAGCUAUAAUAGAUUCACCAAUCGGCGUAGAUACUUCAAAUGGCUUAGCUAACAAUUCUGGUAUUCUUUUGAACUUUCCAGCAACCAAUGGAGUGACAUAUGAUAAUGUGGAACCCGGAUCAACUAAUGCAUAUACAUCAUGUGAAAAGAUGGACAAUGUACCUUUAACCACGUCUAGAGAAGCCUCUGAAUUUUGUCGAUCCGCUAGCAUAUGUACAAUUCUGAACUCCACUAGAGCUAGCUGCUCUUUUAACACCUCUCUACCAGAACCCAUAGGUUGUACACCUCUACCUGAAUAAGGCACCGAUGAUGAUGAUGCAAUGGCUGAUCCAGUAGGUCGUGCCAUACCACCUAUGGCCCUUUGAGGGCAUUCUUUCAUCAUAUGUCCUGAUGCACCACACCAAAAAGCAAGCAUUUGUUCCAAAUUGCUUACAUGACUGUCGAGGAGGCCUUAAUUGGUUUAUACUCCCUUGUUCUUGAUACCCCACUUUUCGUGAACUCUGACUCUCACUUCUUUAUCCAAACUGGUUACCUUUAGACCCUUGAAACUGUGGUGGAGCACUAGCUGUAGAACAAGAAGAUUAUGGACUAGGCGGUCUAUUAGAAAACUGAGGCCUAAAUUCUCCUUGGGAUGCCAUAAACUGCCCCGUAGAUCUAGCCCUUUUGGAAUACCCCCUUUCUGAUUCUUGUGAUCUUCUUCUUUGCCUCUGAUCCUUCAUUUUUUAUGUGAAAGCUUGUAUCCUUGCUAUGUUCAUGUCUUUGUUUAAAGCAGUAAUAGUACAAUAUCUAACCAGAUAUGGAUCCAAUCUAUCUACAUAUCGAUGAACUCUAUAAUCCAUUGUAGCUACUACAUUGGGAGCAUACCUAGCCAAAGAGUUAAACUGAAGGAUAUACUUCCUCACGCUCAUAUUUCCUUGGCGAAGAUUCAGAAACUGAUCUGUACAGGAUUCUCGAAUCUCAUAUGGAAGGUAAUGAUCAAGAAAUGCCUCUUUGAACUCUUUCUAAGUAGCUGGAGGUACAUCGAUACCCCUAGAUCAUUUCCAGUCUUCAUAACACAAUAUAGCCUCCACUUUGAAUCUAUAUGCUGCUAGCUCAACUGUCUUUUUACCCGACACAUGCAUGACAUCUAAAACCCUUUGGAUUUGAUCAAGAAAGUCCUGUGGGUCUUCAGUAAGAUCUGAUCUGGUGAACGUGGGAGGAUCCAAUUUAAGAAAAUUCGGCAUCCGUAGCUAGCUGCCUUAUCUGUACCACUAGAACCUAUGGUUGGAAUGGAUAGUCCUUGAGCUUGUCCCGCAACUAUACGAGCCAAUAAUUGCACCGUAUUUCUUAGAUCUUUGUCAGUAGCAUUAAUAGGUGGUUCUAAGGAUGCGGUUCUUCUCCUUCUUAACUCUUCUGGAGAGGGAGGAGUAGAAGAAGUCUGGGAUACAAACUCAGCUUAAGCCUCACUUUAAUUAGCUUGUCUAGGUAGUGACUUACUGGUCCCUUCUCCGGUAGCCACAUCCUUUCGCUUACUAUAUUCUUACUCCUUCUUGUAACCGGCAUCUUUACUAUAAUAAGAGGAAAAAAAUAGGUUCAGUGGUUAAAUAUGACUUCACCUAUAACAUGGGCUCUAUUGCACGAUCUAAGAUAUGAACAAAAAGAGACAAACCCUAAAUGCCCAUAUCCUCUUGCUUAUAGAUGUGGUGCACAACACACCCGUAAGCAAGACUCUAUGUAGACACGGCUUCGUAGACUCCCUAGGAUGAACUGCUCUGAUACCACUUUUGUCACACCUCAAAUCCUAUUUGGGCUAAUAGGCACUCGUAACCGUAAAGGCCCGAGAGAACCAAUUCAAACACUUGUACUUCCUAUGCAUGUAACUAUAACAACUAAAGGUUCUGACAAACAUGAUAUUAUCUAUCGAUGAGAAUAAUUACAUAUGCAAUACAAAGCCUCUAAAAGAUACAUAGACUUAGUUAGGGUCGGGACAAACCCCGGCCUUACUCUUGACUUAUUGUACAAUACCAAAAUUAUGGAACAUAAUAAAAAAACCUUGAAUCAACCUAGAGCUCACCAAUAGUCCCUAAAAAGCCUGCGCUCCUACUAGUGAGUUGUAUGAGCUGAAGCCUGUGCCUGCAGCAUGAAAUACACCUCCCCCGUAAGGAACAUCAGUACGAAAAUAUGUACUGAAUAUGUAAGGAAGAAGAUAACAACAAACUUGAUACAAAAGAUCAAUAGAAAUAUGAUACAAGUGUAUAAGUAGUACUAGUAGACCACCUUUAUAAAUACUUGUGGCACAAUGUACAUUACAUUCUUUUCUUCAUUUUACCUUCUUACUUUGUAAUCUUUGUAAGCCAUAUAUAAUGCAAAUGACCAGCUGAUCAGUGGUAAAUGGAUAAAUUAGGAUCGGCCCAUGCUAGGCUUACGCCCCUGAGCUGCCACCUACAUAUAAAGAUUGGGAUUGGCCCAUGUUAGGCUUAUGCCCCUGAGCUGCCACCCACAAAUAAAGGUAUCAAGAUCGGCCCAUGCUAGGCAAAUGCCCCUGAGUUGCCACUCGUCAUUUUACAUAUUUACAUUACUUAGUUUAUUUAGCCUUUGAGAUUGUUACUUUGGUGGUCAUCACAUUAUGGUGGAACAAGGUCAUUGGAUACAUGGAGUGUAAUGUGCUGCCAUUAUGUAGCACUUUGUUAUAGGAUAACCUCAGAAACUUGCUUGAUGGAACAAUUGUACGAUUUCAUGCCAAAGAGCAAUAGAGUAUGCCUUACAUACCUUGUUAUUUGACUCCUAUACUAACCCGACUUGACUUCCCGCCUUUUAGAUUACUUAUCUAAGAUAGAAUAUAUGGUAAACUAGUAUAUUAGUAACCAAUCAACACAUUUGAGAUACUUUAUUUCACCCAAAAUAGUAACCGGGCAGCAACUAUUAAUCUACAAACAAGGGUGUUAUUUUAACCUUUUUUUCCUCCAAUUACACCCACAGACCAUAUAGGUUCUUAUAAGGUUCACCAAAACCACCUCGACUUCAUUACACAUUCCAAACAAUACGCAAAAUAGAUUGGGCAGCAAACAUUAGUUUGGUGGUGUAUCACCACAACUUUCUUCUAUAAUUCAUUACAAACUCAUCACGCCUUUAUCCAACUUCAACUUGACUGCCCAUAACAUAUACAUACAAAGAAGUCCCAAAUCCCUUUUAUGGUAGCAAUCAAUUAUUGAACUCAUCAUCUCUUGAGUUCUCAAUAACAAGACAUCCAUAAUCCCCUCUCAAAUUCAUAUAUAAGAAAAACAAAAUGGAGCAGUUACCUUACCUCAAUUCAGCAACUUAUUCUUUUAAUUGAACUCUUCAAGAGAUUGAACUUUCCUUCACACUUAAACUAAAGAAGAAGAAUAAAAGUUCCUCAAUAACAAGGAAACGCAAACAAAUAGCUUGUUCUAUAAUCAGACAUAUACUUUGUCACGCCUCAAAUCCUGUUGGGGCAGACAAGCACCCGUAGCCGUAAAGGCCCGAGCGAACCCAUUCAUAACCUUGUACUUUCCAUGUAUGUAACUGUGACAACCAAAUGUUCUGACAAUAUGAUAUUAUGUAUCGAUGAAAAUAACUACACAUGCAUGCACAAACUGAUAUGUACAACAUUUGGCCGAUGGGGCCACCAUGUCUAAAAUCAGGACACUACCAUAACUUUACAUUAGUUUACAAUGCCUCUAAAAGAUACAUAGACUUAGUUAGGGUCGGGACAAAACCCCCCGUCCUACUCUUAACCUACUGCACAAUACCAAAACAUAUGGAACAAACUCAGAAAGCCCCAAAUCAACCUAGAGCUCACCAAUAUGCACGGAAUAGCCUGCGCUCCUACGAGUGAGGUGUAUGAACUGAACCUGCAGCAUGAAAUGCAGGUCCCCCAUAAGCGACUUGGCCAAACCUCCAAGCAAUCUAGUAUGGGCCUAUAUAACGUGGACUUAAUUUUCCUUUCUUACCAAAUCUCAUAACCCCUUUCAUUGGUGAUACCUUUAAGAAUACCCAAUCACCUAGUCCCCUUCUCCUAACAUCCGCAUAUGACUUGUGUCUGCUUUGGGCUAUUUCUAGCCGAUGUUGGAUCACUUUAACCUUUUCCAUAGCUUGAUGAACAAGAUCUGGCCCGAAUAAGGCAGUUUCACCCGCUUCAAACCAUCCAAUUGGUGAUCUACACUUUCUUCCUACAAAGCUUCAUAUGGUGCUAUUUUAAUACUUGAAUGAUAGCUGUUGUUGUAGGCGAACUCGAUGAGAGGUAGAUUAUCAUCCCAACUACCUUUAAAGUCCAAUACAUAAGCUCGUAGCACAUCUUUAAGUGUUUGAAUGGUACGUUCUGCUUGUCAUCCAUUUGAGGGUGAAAAGCUGUACUUAGAUUCACUUGUGUCCCUAAAUUUCUCUGAAAAUACUUCCUAAAAUUUGUGGUAAAUUGAGCUCCUCGAUCCGAUAUAAUAGAGAUUGGAACUCCAUGUAGUCAAACCAACUCCUUAAUAUAUAACUUGGCAUAUUCUUCAACUGUGUAAGUGGUCCUAACCGGUAGAAAGUAUGCUGAUUUGGUAAGCCUAUCAACUAUCACCCAGAUGGAAUCAAACCUUUGAAAUGUACGAGGCAAACCAGUGAUGAAAUCCAUGUUGAUCAUGUCCUACUUCCAGAUUGGAAGAUCUAUACAUUGCAUAUAACCCCCAGGCUUUUGGUGCUCUACUUUAACUCUUUGACAAUUUGAACAUUCGACUACAAAUUUUGCAAUGUUCUUCUUCAUGUCACCCCACCAAUACAUCCCUUUCAAAUCAUGGUACAUUUUUGUUGACCCUGGAUGGAUAGAAUACCUUGAAUGAUGUGCUUCUAUCAUAAUCCUCUUUCUUAGCCCGUCUACAUCAUGUACACACAAUCCAUUUUGGCAUCGAAGUACCCCUUCUUUAGUAAGCUAAAAUGCCUUUGAGGGCAUUCUCUCAUCAUAUGUCAGGGACAUACCAUACCAAAAGCAAGAAUUUGUUCUGAACCAACAUGCCCCUAAAUAAAGCUUUCCACAUUGUUUACAUGGCUGUCGAGGAGGCCUUAAUUGGCUCAUAAUCCCUUGCUCUUGAUACCCUGUUGUUUGCAAACUCUGACUCUCAUUUCUUUGAACAAACUUGUUACCUUUAGACCCUUGAAACUAUGGUGGAGCACUAGCUGCAGAAUAAGAAGAUAAUGGUCUAGGAGGCCUAUUAGAAAACCGAGGCCUAAACUCUCCUUGGGAUGCCAUAAACUGCCCCGUAGAUCUAGACCUCUUGGAAUACUCUUUCGAACUCUUGCGUUCUUCUUCUUUACCUCUAAUCGUCCAUUUUUUGUGUGAAUGCUUAUAUCCUUGCUAUGUCCAUGUCUUUGUUCAAAGCAGCAAGAGUACAAUCUCUAACCAGAUAUGGAUCCAAUCUAUACACAUAUCGAUGAACCCUAUUAUCCAUUGUAGCUACAACAUUAGGAGCAUACUGACAAGGAGUUAAACCGAAGGUUGUACUCCCUCACGCUCAUAUUUCCUUGGCAAAGAUUCAGGAGCUGAUCUGCACGGGCUUCUCAAAUCUUAAAUGGAAGGUAAUGAUCAAGAAAUGCCUCUUUGAACUCUUUUCAAGUAGCUGAAGGUGCAUCGAUACCCCUAUAUCGUUUCUAAUCUUCAUACCAAAAUAUAGCCUCCCCCUUGAAUCUAUAUGCUGCUAGCUCAAUUGUCUCUUUACCCAACACAUGUAUAACAUCUACAAAAUGAACAAACAAGAUUAGUAGUAAAAGCUUCUCACCAAUACUCGUAUACACUCAUCUUUGUGAUCCUCACAAUUGGAGCAGCAAAUAUUAAAAGUUGCUUAUACUCCGGUAGUCAAUAAGGUGUCAAUCACUACUUAGCGGCCAAAAUAGAUUCUUGUUUGAUCAACUCAAGACACAAAAUAAAAUCUACUUACGAACUUGAAACAAAGAAAUUCAACAAAUCAAAAUUAGAAAAGUACACAAAGAAUGAAAACACGAAGAAAGGACUCAAAACUAAUUCACAACCUGGUAGAUAGUUACUAGUUUGUCAAUUAGUGAUGGAAUCAACAAAAAUGCAACUAAAGAAACAAGAAUAGAAACUAAGAAUCCAAAAAUUUGAGCUAAAAAUAUGGGUGUGCAAAGUGAUGACGCGGCAUCUUGUGAUUGGAUGAUAAUUUGCAAUUUUUUUGUGUUCUUCACUUUGAGUUUUGGCCAAUCCUCAAUUCCAAGAGUGUAUAUUCAGUUUUUUUUUUUUCUGUAAAAAAUUUAAUCCAAAAAUCCAUUCUCUUCUUCCCUUUUUAUCUCCUCUCUUCCUCCUUUGAUUGAAAACCCAAUUAAUUUGUACUUGAUUAUUCUUCCCUUUUGUUAUUUUCUUUCUUUUGGAUGACUAGGAAGGUGCUUGGAAAUUUUUUUAAACAAGUACUACACUCUUUUUCCUUCUUUUUCAAGAUCAAACACCUACUUUUGAAUAUUCUUCCUCAAUAAGAUAUGAAGAUGAGGAAGAACACCAAGAACAUUCAAGUGUUGACCAAUGUUGACCACAAGGCAAAUGACCUCCAAAUUUAAAUUUUCUUAAGGAUCUAAGGUCUCUUUGCCAACCCAAACAUAAAUAUCACAAAAUCAGCCCAAAAAUGUCACAACCACAAUAGCACAAAAUGUGACCCACCCUCAAAUAGCUUCAAACACAAGUUCAACAAUGGUGGAUUCAAAACACCUCUAAUUUAGCUCAAAUCUUAGAUCUAGACUCUAUUAGUGCUAGGGAACAAGGAUCUAGCACUAGAAACUCAUAAAACACACCAAAAUAAAGUAGAUCUAAGUUUCAAAAUCUUCCCAAACACAAAAAACGAGAUUUAUAACUUUUUUCGUGAGAUUUUUUAUUUUCUACACUUCUUCUAUUGUUAGAAAUAAGGAUCUAACACUAGAAACACACAAAAUACACCAAAAUAAAGUCUCAAAAAUUGAAAAACCCUUAAAACGUGAACAUUAACUUUUUCUUUUUUUUCUUUUUCACUUUUUUUUAUUUUCAAGAUAACAAUCCCAAGAUUGAUUUUGUUGAAACAAAAUCAAACCUUGCUCUUGAUACCAAAUGAUAGAAGAAUGACCUAAAGAGAUGAAGACUAAGAGAAACAAGAGAACAAACAAAUGCAAUUAAGUAAGAUAGAUUGCUUGACAUACGAGAUUACAGAAAUAGGAACCAAACCGUGUAUCAAACGAUAAGACCCUUAAGACCCGGAAUUACAACACCAAACUCUUACGGUGACCACUAAGGAAAUCAACUCCGCCUUACAACCACCGUUUCUAAGCAAAGAUCAAUAAUGACUUUUCUUGCCCUAUGGCUUUUCCAAGCCCUACUCUACUUGGCUUUUUUCAAAGCCCUACACUACACUCUUAAAGAGAGAAGAAGAAGUCUUUCAAAUAUCAAUAAUCAACUAAUGAGAAAAUAAUCCUAAAGAAUCUAUUUAUAGCUUAUUACAUAAAAUACCAAAAUACCCUUAAUGUAAAAGGGCUCCUAUGGAGUGUAAAGAAAUGGCACAAAAAGACUAAAACACCCUUAAUAAGUGUUUACACUCCAAGGCCGCCCCACUAAUGCUUCAUGGGUCCCUCCUUCUUCAAGCUUCAAAUGUGAAACCUCUUGGAACCCUUUGGUAGGCAUCAACACAAGUUCUAAGCAAUCUUCUAAACAUGGUUUUGCUCUAUUGUAAUCUCAAAAUGAGUACUCCAUGCAUAUCCUUAUACCCUCAAUAUGACCAAAUCUUGAAUAUUCAUGCAUGGGCCUCGAAUGAUAUCAUCAAAAGCUAUGAUGGCUCUUUGGCUCAUAUCAUAAAGACUACAGAAAAUGGGUGUGUUGUUUACACCCGUGUCUAUGGCCACUCUUCCCAUUUGAUUCCAGUGCCAUCUUAGGAUGGGGAAGAUUUACUCUCGGCUUAGGUGCGUUUCUUUUGGGUGCUUAUCAUAGCCAAGCCCUUGGUGAAUUUGUCGAUGGCUUCAUAAUGUUUAACACUAAGAACUCUUGGUUAUAUGUCAAAUAUGAACCAUCUUGGCAUGUCAAGAUUUGUUGUUGGCCGAGACUUGAACUCAAAGGGUCCUUAGUUUCUUUUUUUGGUGUGGGCUAUUUUGAGUGUUUUGAGUGCAUACCAUUAUUGUUUAUUUUUACUAAUCCUAACCCUCAUUCCAUGAGGAAGUGUGCUUGUUUGUCUUCUCUUUUGAUUUUGCAAGGCAUGGAUUUGAGGUCAAACCUUUUUUAAGAAGGAGAGGAUGAUAUGGGUGCGAUUAUGUAGAUGGACUCUUGUGGGUGUGUAUUGAAGUUGUCCAAGUGUGUGUGCAAGAGAAGCGUAAUUAAGGGCCUAAAUACACACCAAAAAUGGCCCACUACAAACACUAAAGGGGUAGCCCACUCUUGAAGGGCUAUUAUGGAUAUUUCACACUAUUUUUGUAAUAUCUAUAAAUAGAACCUUUUAGGGUUUCAUUCAUUAGAGUUUGAUGAUAAUGAAUGUUGUAUAACAUUGAAAGACAAGUCCUUUCUCCUUGAGGCACAAAUCCAAAACUUAUAACUAGGGUGAUACUAGGGUAGAAUCACUAGUGUUGCAUUCUUGCUUAGAACGCGGGGUGCUAAAGGAGGUUGAGGUCUCUCUUGUGCUCACCGAAGAGAGUAGGUGUUCCUAUUAUCAUUGUAUUAAGGGUCUAGGUGCUUGAAUACACUUAGGUUCUUAGUUCAUGAGAUAAUGUAUGUCACUCUAUCUAUCCUUUCUAUUCUUGCAAUCUUGUAACAUUUGUAUCUCGUAUUGUACCCGUUUGUGUUGUUGUUAUUCGCAUUGUUAAGUUCAUUUUGUUCUUCAUCUUCUUCUUAAAUCUAGUUUGAUGGCUAUUUUGGGGUUGAAACACACCCUUAUAUUUCGUUCUUCUUGUUGUUGUAGUGAAUCCGAGAGUGGUCACCAAAUAAGUCCACGGGUUCUUCAAACUAGUGGACUGAUUUGGUGUUUGUUUCGUGCUUCCAUUAUCAUUCCCGUAUCAACAACGAACUCGUGGGUGUAAUCCAAGUUUGUCCCACCUUUGCAUGGCAUAUGAUGUGUGUAUUUUGCUAACCCUAACCCCUCAUGUCAUGAGGAUGUGUACUUGUUUGUCUUCUCUUAGUUUGCAAGGUAUGGAUUCGAGGUCAAAUCCUUUUCAAGAAGGGGAGGAUGAUAUGAGUACGCCCAUGAGAUGGACGAGAACGAGUGCAUAUUGAAUCCGUCCAAGGAAGUGCACAAGUGAAGUGUAAAAGAGGGCCUAAAUGCACUAAAAAUAGCCCCUAAGUUACACUUUAUGGGCAUCUCACCCUUGAGGGGUAUUGUGGUUAUUUUGUAUUCUAUUUUGCAAUAUACUAUAUAUAGAACCUCUUAGGGUUUUUAGUCUUAGUUUUGAUGAAUAUUGAAAGCUGUAGACACUUAAACAUUUCUCUCUUGUGAGAAAGGCCCCUAUGGCCAAACAUUGUAACUAGGGAUUUCAACUUGAGUGUGGAAUCACUCAUGUUGGAUUCAAGCAUGGAAACGUUGAAUACUUGGGAGAUCGAGGUCCCUCUUGUGCCACGUAAGAGAUAGGUGAAUUUAAGUGUGUAGUGUUAAGGGUCCAAGAGUGGAAUAUGCUCUUAGGUUCUUAAGAUUAUGCUUUUAUGUAGUCUAUCUUUCUAUCCCUUUGUUUAGUGUAAUCUUUUGGUGUUGUUUCUUGUGUUGUUGAAACCGUUGGUUAUUAUUAUUGUAAUCCUCUUGUUCUUCACGUGUUGAUGCUUUUUUGGGUGUUAUAUACAUCAUUGAAUCUUGUAUUCUUCUUGUUGGUAGUGAAUCCGAGAGUGGUCCCAAAAAGGUCCUUGGAUCCUUAAGAUUAGUGGACUGAUUUCUAGUGUGUUUCGUGUUUCCCUUGUUUGUCUUGUAUCAAAUCCCUACACUAAGGGUGUUACACUCUCAAAGAGAGAAGAAGUCUUUCACAUAUUCAUCCUCCCAAAACUAAAGAGCAAAUGACUUAAUAGAAACAGAAAUGACCACAAUACCCUUAAUGAAAGGGGGUGGCCAUGAAGUAUCUUUCUGACAAAGUGUGAUCCCCAAAACACCCUUAAUGAAGGGUUCUUCUUCAAUGCUCCACAACCGUGGGGUUAUUCUUUAACACUUAUAGUCUCAGGUUGGCAUCAAAUGUAAGCCCCCAUGUAAUCUUCCACACACGGGUUUGCCUUAUGUCAUGCUCAAAACGGGUCCUCCAUGCAUGUUCUUGUGUCAUCGAGGUGAACAAGUCUUGAGUUUGUAUGCGUUGGCAUCCAAUGACGUCUUCAAAAGCAUAGAUGACCAUUUGGUUCGUAUCACUUCCUUCUCUUAACCAAGGCUUCAAAAUACUUUGAAAAGUCUUCAAUUACUUGCUAAUUCCAAAGCCUUGACCCUUAGACCAUACUUUGUGCUUUUGAUGCUCCUUGUUCUUGUAUCAUCCUCUCUAACUUGAAAGAAAUUUGUCCUUAAAUUCAGAUCUUGCAAAACCAAAGGAGAGCAAAAAUAAAAACAAACACAAAAUCCUUUUGGUAGGAGGGUUACCACACUUAUAUCAUUAACCCAUGGUUGCUGACACUUAAUAUACAUCCACAUAUCCUUGGUUUUUAACAUAAAAAGCUUAGCAUAAAGUAUACCAAAAACAUGAAUAGCACUAAGUGAGCACGACCAGUAACCAUAACCAACACAUCUUAAGAGUAUUCCAGGGUCAAAUGGGAGCAAAGGAUAAAGGUCUACAUCAAGAUGGCCCACCCUUUCACUAGUUUACCAAGUUCACAAUCAUUCAAGGCAUUAUCCACCACUAGGAUAGACACAAGGUCACUAUGAACAAGAUUAAUAUAAUGGCUUUCAUUACACAAUUUCAAAGGACCAUGUUCAAUAUCAAGAUCAUCAUUACUAGCAUCAACACUAACUUGAAAGUUUUUAAUCAUGCCCUUCUCAUGUUCAAGUAGUGAGCUAACCUUAUAAGCACAUAGUUCACUAAACACAUCAUAAGAACUAACAAUGGAAGAAACAUGCACAUCUAUAUCAAGAGAACCCGAGAAAACUUCACAAGGAAUCACAUGACAAUAAUUUAAGUUCAGGGGAACAUAAGGUCUAACAUCAUCUCAGUUUGGGCUAGGACAAUCCACUAUUUUGUGACCCUCGGUCAAAGGUGUCUUGAGUUGAUUUUCGAGUAAAACCCUUAUUGAUCCUUCUUUGACAACUUAUGAGCUUGAAACUUCAAAUAAUAAAGAUCAAAGCUAGGCAAAAUGCAAGCCUUUGGGUUAGUGAGUAUCAUGGGACCUUUGUGGGCAAGUCCUACAAACAAAGUUGUCUUUUCCCUUUCAAUUUCACUACCCUCGUUUUCCCUUUUCUCUUCUUCAUUUCUCCACACUCUUCUUGUAUCUCACCCUCAAAUUGCUCUCCAUCUUGAGAUCCCACCUCAUCACCUUCUUUCACUAUCUCUUUUCUUAUUUGAAUGGAGUAGUUUCCGUUUAGUGGAUCUUGGGGAGGAGGCAUUGGAUUUGAUUGGUGAUGGAUUUGAAUUAGUGGGAUGGAAUUUGGUGGAUUGUAGGAUCUUUGGUUUUGAGGGGUUUGAACUUGUGGAGGGUUUGGUGGACAUAGUCUAUCACAGAGUCUAUCAACCCCCACUUUCAAUCUAGCUGCACCACCCUUCAAAGAUGCCAUUUCACUUCUCAAGGCAUCAUGAUUAUCUUUCAUUUUUUGAUCCAAGGCAUCAAUCCAAGCCAUCAAGGCUCCAAUAGCAUCAUUUUCCAAAGGUUGGGAAGUAGUACCUUCGGAUUCCAUGGAAAAUGUACCUAAAAAGUGCAAAAAACAGCAAGCAUGUCACCUACAAAAUGAGCAAACAAGUUAGUUCAAAAACCUUACUUCACUCACACUCAACCUCACCUCACACUUGGCUUCACAAGCAUUGGAGAAUCGGUAAUACUUGGCAAGUUACUUGAGAGGUGAGAAGCUUUAAAUUGUGAUUGAUCUUUGUUUGAAAUGACUCAAAAUAAGUGAUGCACGAACUUGAACCAACAAAAUACUACGACUUGAAAAUGAGAAAAGCACACAAAAAAUCAAAGACACGAAAUAAACGAACUCUAAACUAAUUACCAACCUAGUAGGUUACUUACUAGUUUGCAUUUAGUGAUAGAAUUAGUUUAAAAGAAACUAGAAUCAACAAUUAGAAACUAGAGAAUCUAACUUUAGAGUCAAAUUUUGGUUGAGCACAAGUGAUGAUGUGGCACUACGUGGUUGGUUGUCACUUUUUGAAAUUCCAAAAUUCUUUCCCAACUUGUUUCAGCCAACACCUCUUAGGAAGGAAGAGAAUUUGGUUUUGGAGGGAAAAAUUUCAAGUUGAAGCCUUUUCAAGCUUCAAAAUGGAUGAGAAAUGAAUUGGCCCCUCCUUUGUCCUUGCAAAUUGUACUUUGUUGUCCCCUUGUCCCCUCCUCCUUUUGAAAGAAUGGAAUAUUCUUUGAAUAUGCUUUUCGAAAAACAACUUUUUCACUCUCUUUCUUUCCUUUUUUGGAUCAAACAAGAACUUUGAAUAUCCUUCUUCACUAAAUUAUGAAGAUCAUGGAUGAACAAGAUGAAUAUUCAAGCAUUGACCAAGUUUGACCACCUAGCAAAUGAACUCCAAAUCUGAAUUUUUUUUUAGGAUCCAGGUUCCUUAAGCCAAAACAAACUCAACCCCCUAAAAUUCAGCCACAAAUCAAGUCACCAACACAAUCCAGAAACGUCACCCCCUCCAAUAAGCUUCAAACAAGCCACUACAAUGGUGGAUCUAGCUCAAAACCAAUCAAACUUCACUCUAAAAGUAGAUCUAAACUCUUUAAGUAUUAGAGAACAAGAAUCUAACACUAGAAACUAUCAAAACACAAUAAAAACUUUUAGAUGUAACUUGGAAAAUUAGGAUCUACAACAAACACACAAGACAGACAACAUAUAAUUUUUUUGGUAUUUUCUGAUUUUUGACUCUUUUUUUAUGAGAUUUUCUAUAUAACAAAACUAAAACCAAGAUUUAGGGAUGUUGGAACAACCCUAACCAAGGCUUUGAUAGCAAAUGAUAGCCUAAUGACUACCAGACACACGAAAUUGGCUACUAAGAUACAAAUUCCAGCAACCAAACAAAGAGAAAACAACACAUAGAAUGGAGAUGAUGAAGAAGAAGAAGAUUACUUGAAAUUGAAAUAUAGAUAGAAACGCCCUUACCCUUAUUAAGUGAUUAGCACUAUAAGAUGUUUCAAAUCUUCAAACACACUUCACAAAUAGGAGUUCAAACCUUCCUCUUAGGUGACUCAAAGGAAGCACUCUUUCUCAAACCAUUUUUUUGCCAAAUUAUCCAAAAUAAGUGAAACCCUAACUUCAAAUGUUCUUGGACCACUUUCGGAUUCUAAGAGCUAAAACUAGAGACUAAUAUCACCCCUCAACUCCUAUUGGGGCGGAUAGGCACCUAUAGCCGUAAAGGCCCGAGAGAACCAAUUCAUAACCUUGUAUUUCUCAUGCAUGUAACUAUGACAACCAAAGGUUCUAACCAACAUGAUAUUAUGUAUCGAUGAGAAUAAUUACACAUGCAAGCACAAACUGACAUAUACAACACUUGACCGUUGGGGCCACCAUGUCUAAAGGCAAGACAUUACCAUAACUUUACAUUAGUCUACAAAGCCUCUAAAAGUAACAUAUACUUAGUUAGGGUUAGGACAAAAUCCCCCGCCCUACUCUUAACCUUCUACACAAUACCAAAAUAUAUGGAACAGACUCGAAAAGCCCCGAAUUAACUUGGAGCUCACCAAUAGUCUCCAAAUAGUUGUGCUCCUACUAAUGAGUUAUAUGAACUGAAGUACCUGUGCCUGCAGCAUGAAAUACAGGUCCCUCGUGAGGGACGUCAGUACGAAAAUAUGUAAUGAGUAUGUAAGGCUGAAGGUAACAAUACAUGAUACAAAAACUCAAUAGAAAUCAGAUAUAAGUAGUACUAGUAAACCACUUUUAUAUAUACUUGCGAGAAUACAUAAAUUACGUUCCUUUCUUCAUUUUACCUUCAUACUUUAUGAUCUUUGUAAGCCAUAUAUCAUGCAAAUGACUAGCUGAUCAGUGGUAAAUAGAUAAAUUAGGAUCGCCCCAUGCUAGGCUUACGCCCCUGAGUUGCCACCUACAUAUAAAGAUUGGGAUCGGCCCAUGCUAGGCUUAUGCCCCUGAGCUGCCACCCACAUAUAAAGGUAUCAAGAUCGGCCAAUGCGAGGCUUAUGCCCCUGAGCUGCCACUCAUUUUACAGAUUUACGCUACUUAUUUUAUUUAACCUUUGAGAUUGUUACUUUGGUGGUCAUAACAUUAUGGUACCUUGAAAUAAUAACUUGCCACUAAGAGACAUGUAAAUAGGCACUUAAUGCAACAAAAAUGAGGUAGGGAGCUGUUGGCACACAAAUGAAGUGUUUAGGAGCUUAAAAUAACACAUGGGUCUUAAUUGAGUAAAUGGAGAACUUCUGAAAUUUUUAAAUGAAGAUAGAUGUACAGGUUUAAUAAUAAACACGUAUUGAGGUGAUUUGAUAUGUUAAAGAGUGGGAACAAGGUCGUUGGCUUCUUGGUAUACAAUACGCUGCUAUUAUGUGUCACUUGUUAUAGGACAACCUUGGAAACUUACUUUGUGGAACAAAUGUUUGAUUUCAUGCCAAAGAGUACAAAAUAGAGUAUGCCUUACAUACCUGGUUAUAUAACUCCGAAACCAUCCCGACUUGACUUCCCGCCUUUUAGAUUACUUAUCUACAAUAGAAUAUAUGGUAAACUAGUAUUAGCAACCAACCAACAUGUUUAGGCUACUUAACUUCACCAAAACAGUAACCGGGCAGUACACACGUAAUCCAUCAAUCAAGGGCGUUAUUUUAACCCUUUCCUCCUCCAGUUACACCACAUACCACACAUGUCCUCAUAAGAUCAUCAAAACUACAUCAUCUUCAUUACACCCUCCAACACAAAAUAAAUUUGGCAGUAACAAAUACAACAAUUAGUUCGGUGGUGUACCACCACACCUUUCUUCUAUAUUUCAUUACAAACUAACCACACCUUUCUGCAACAUCAACCUGGCAGCCCAUAACACAAACACACAAAACAGUCCGCAAACAACACCCCAAUCAUCCUUUAAUAACAACCAAAUAUGUGCAAUCCUUUACCAACACAUGUAUAUAGAAAAAGGACAAAAGUGGACAGCAAACAUACCUUGAUUUCCUUGUUAGUUUAGCCUCUUAAUUUGAAUCUCUUCAAUAGCUACCCUUCACACAUACACCAAAAGAGAGAAAGAAAUCCCUUAAUAACUAAGAACAAUGGACUGUCCAACUUAUAGAGAGGGCUGUCCAAAAAUUAAUCUUGAAGAACACAUAGUUUCCUUAGUACAAGCUUAUGAAUUACUUACUUAACUUUAGAUCUUGGGAGGAAGUUAAAUUCCAAGAACCCUUGUGGGAAUAUAGGGUUACUUCAUAGCCAAUAGAGAACAAGAGAGGAAACCCUAGAAGCUGAAAUUUUUGUCUAAGUUAAAAAUGAGCAAAAAUUGCUGAUUUCAAUCUAUAUAAAGGAGCUGCUCUUUGGCCGACUUUCUUGACCUUUUUUGUCCCAUAUUUUAUCAAGUGAAUGAUGUAUAUACUUGCCCAAUAUAUUGGGAUUUUGUGGAUCCAAAGUUAUUGGGUGUUAGCCACCCAUUUUCCCUUCUUUUCUUCUCUUUAACUUGGGCCUUGACAGAUUUGAGUAUUGGGCUUUUUUACCCAUUUUCUUCCUCUUCUAUUUAAUUUGGGCCCAAAUGAAUACAUUACAUUGCCCAAAUCUGGUCCACAACAAUAUGUCCAUUAAUUUGGUCCAAAUAGCUAAGUAGGUGACCCCUACUAGCUUAAUUAAGUCAAGCAAGCACCUCAAUAUUUUGUUCCAUUUUCAGCUCCUAAUCCCUUUAAUAUAACCUUAAACUUAUACACACUUGGUCACUUUAAACUUCAGAUUCAAAUACUAGCUUACGAUCCCAAGUUUAAAAAGUUGUAUCGACGUUAACUUGGUCGCAUCACAUAAAAACUGCACGGGCAGCAUAUAUAAUCCUAUCUACACCAUUAACACUUACAUAACAAUCUCAUCCAUUACUAUACCACAAGGCUAAAGGUUCCAUAUAAUUAGAACAAGUACAAGCAAAAUACGGGAUGUUACAUCCUUCCCCCCUUAGAAACAUUCGUCCUCGAAUGUUAGCAUAACUGUCCAACCAAAACAAGUUCAAGCCUAAUUUUAUUAUCCCUAUUAUCACAUAGUAUCUAUAUAUUACACUUACUUGUUAUUGCUCCAAUUCAGCAUCUUGGACUUUUUCUUCGUAUUUGAAUAAAUGGGGGUACUUGGAUUUCAUCACUUCUUCAGCUUGCUAUGUGAUCUCUUCUACUUGCUGAUUCCUCCAAAGCAUUUUUACAGAAGCUAUUUCCUUAUUCCUCAACUUCUUAACCUGUCGAUCUAGAAUAGCAAAAGGUAUUUCCUCAUAGGUGAAAUCUUCUAUAAUUUGUACAUCUUCAGUAGGGUUCAUAUGAGAUGGAUCUCCAAUGCACUUUCGAAGCAUUAAGACGUGAAAUACCGGAUGAACUAUUGAGAGCUCUUGGGGUAGCUCUAAUUCAUAAGCGACUUGGCCAAACCUCCGAGUAAUCUUAUAUGGGCCUAUAUAAGUGGACUUACUUUUCCUUUCUUACCAAAUCUCAUAACCCCCUUCAUUGGUAACACCUUCAAGAAUACCCAAUCACCUAUAGAAAACUCUAGUCCCCUCCUUAUAAUAUCUACAUAUGACUUGUGUCGACUUUAGGCUAUUUCUAACCGCUGUUGAAUCACUUUAACCUUUUCCAUAGCUUGAUGAACAAGAUCUGGCCCGAAUAAGGCAGUUUCAUCCUCUUCAAACCAUCCAAUUGGUGAUCUACACUUUCUUCCAUAUAAAGCUUCAUAUGGUGCCAUUUUGAUACUAGAAUGAUAGCUAGUAGGAGUGUACUAGCUUGUUAAUUAGUUCUGGAACCAAGUAAUGAAAUUAAGAAUCAACAAUUAGAAACAAGAAAAACCUAAAUUUGAGCUUAUUAAUGACGUGAACAGUAGCAAAUGGUGAACAUGACACAACAUCACCAAUUGUCAACAACAAGUCACAACAUAUGGCCAAUAUUUUAAGCUCAACUUUAGAUUUAGACACCUUUAGUAUUGGUGAGAAAGAAACCCACGCUAGGAACACUCUAAAUAAGUAAAAUACUACAAGAUCUAGUAAAAAAAAUAAAAAAAAAUCAUGGCCCAUACAUAAACACAACACAAUUUUCGGCCAAGAACACAAAGGUGGCAGAUUUGACUGUUUCUGGAAUUUUUAGAUUUCAAUUUUUUUUUUUGAUUUUUUUUGUAGUUUUCAAGGUCUCAAGCAAAAGAUUGAUCUUGUUAGAACAAAAUCAAAGAUGAAUUUGAUACCAAAUGAUGCACUAUCAAGUCCACAACAGAAGAAUCCAGCAACAACAACAAGAUGAACAAGCUAACACAAGAACUACAAGAUGAGCAACAAGGUGCUAGUGAAUCGAAAUAGGCCACACCCGGCUUCACUAAACUUCAAAAUUACAAUGAAAACAAGAUGAAAGAUUACAAAGAGUACAAUGUUAACAACAAGAACAACAAAUGGCAGGAACUAUAGUGAAUCAAAAUCAGCCCCACACGGCUUCACUAAGUUACUGCAAUAGUUUCAAGAGUACAAAAAUGAAAGAUAGUAACUUGACACAAAGAUAUCCUAGAAUCUAUAAACCCUAACUUGAAGAAAGGACCCUAAGACCGAAAGAUUUCAGCAUCAAGUUCUUACUUAGACCAAGAGGAACUCAUGAACCUCAAGAUGUUUCUAACCAAAAAACAACACAAGUGUAACUACACUUUGUUGGACAGAUUUUAGGUUCUACUCUCAAGAACAAGAGAGAGAAAUGUUCAAUGUUAAAAGACUUGUUGUUGUGAAAUUUGAAGUAUGAACUAAGUGCUGAAAAUAACCCUACUAGCAGCUAUUUAUAUUACACAUAAAAUGGACAAAUGACCCUCUUACCCUUCAGUUAUGGGCACCCUUGGAGUGUAAUUUAUUACACUUCAAGGCUCCUCUUCACACUUAAAAACAUUUAAGCUCUUUGGCAGAUCAAGUACCAAUUCACACACGGCCAUUUGCAUGAACAUGGCUUGUAGUUUUUGUAACUCCUGAGCUUGGCUUUGUGUGAAUGGUCGAGAAUGUAUUGGACAACUUUGUACACCCAUUCAAUGGUCGAGAACGUAUUGGAAAACUUUGUACACCCAUAUCACUUUGACCCUGGAUGGAUAGAAUACCUUGAAUGAUGUGCUUCUGUCAUAAUCCUCUUUCUUAGUCCAUCUACAUUCGGCACACACAAUCUAUUUUGGCACCGAAGUGUUCUUGCAUAAGCUCAAAUGCCUUUGUCAUACCACAUUACACAUUUUCCUUAAGCUGUAAUAGAAUAGGAUCUGCAUAUUGCAUCUCUUUUACUUCAGUCACUAAUGAAGAUUCUGCCGUAUUAUGCAUAAUAAGCCCCUCAUUUGGAGUUUCAAGAAGGCGAACCCCCAAAUUUGCUAGUUGGUGUAGAUCCUUAGUCAUCCCUUGUCUUUCUAUAGAUGGCUCCAUAGCCUUACGACUUAACGCAUCUGCCACUACAUUUGCUUUUCCCAGAUGAUACAAGAUAUCAACAUCAUAGUCUUUUAAUAAUUCAAGCCAUCUUCAUUGUCUCAAAUUUAGGUCCUUAUGAUAUAAUGCAAACUCUUGUGGUCUGUAUAUAUGUCAACAUGAUUCCCAUACAAAUAGUGAUUCCAUAUCGUUAAGGCAAAUAUAACCGCCGCUAGCUCCAGAUCAUGCGUCGGAUAAUUCUUCUCAUAUGGCCGCAAUUGUCUUGAGGCAUAUGCUAUGACUUUACCACACUGCAUCAAUACACACCCUAAGCCAAUUCUUGAAGUAUCACAAUAAACUACAUACCCUUCUGUGCCUUUUGGAAGUACCAAUAUGGGGGUAGAAGUCAACUUGUUCUUCAGAUCUUGGAAACUUCUUUCGCAUGCAUCAAUCCACUGGAACUUAGGAUGCUCUAUGUGUUAACUUAGUUAAAGGUGCCGAAAUUGAAGAAAAUCCUUCAACAAACCUUCUAAAAUAACCUGCCAACCCAAGGAAACUAUGAACCUCCGUAGGCGUUAUAGGUCUUGGCUAGUUCUUUACGACUUCUAUCUUUUGAGUAUCAAUCUUUAUUCCUUCAUCAGAUACAAUAUGAACUAAGAAUGCCAUAGAUUUUAACCAAAACUCACAUUUAGAGAACUUUGCAUAUAUCUUAUGAUCACGAAAAAUCUGCAACACCUGUCGUAAGUGAUCAGCAUGGUCAUAGAAACUAUCACAAACACAUCCAAGAAUGGCUUGAAUGCCCUAUUCAUCAAAUCUAUAAAAGCUGCAUGAUACGGUACAAAUGGCUAUCUUAUCUUUUGAUGACAUCUUUGGAGGCCAACACAUAGAGGCUCAAGACUUGGUUACCUCGAGAAUACAAGAACAUGCAUGGAGGACCCGUUUUGAGCAUAACUUAAAGCAAUCUCACGUGUGGAAGAUUGCUUGGAGCAUUUAAGAUUGAGGACUCAAGGUUUUGGACCUUAAUUAAGGGCAUUUUGGACAUUACACAUGGUGUAUUUACACACCAUGGCCGCACCUAUCAUUAAGGGCAAAGUGGUCUUUUUAUCUACUUUUGUAUUACACUAUAAAUAGGUCAUUUUAGCUCAUUUCUUGGCAUAUUUUGAAUGAUGAAUUAUUGAAAGACAUAUUUUCUCUCUUUUGAGAGUGUAGCACCCUUAGUUGUAGGGCUUGGAAAAGCCAUCCUUAGCAUAGGGCUUGGAAAAGUCAAUAUUGAUCUUUGCUUGGAAACGGUAGAUCUUGAGGUGAGUUCAUUACCUUGGUGGUCACUGUAAGAGUGUGGGUUUGAUUGUUACAUUCAUUAGGGGUUAGUAUUGAAAUACACUUGGUUCUUAAUCUUGUAAUAAUCUUGGUCUCACUAUCUAUCUUUAUUUUCUAUGAAAUUUCCCUUGUGUUUGUAUUGAAUUAGUGUCUUGUUUCAUCUUGUGUCAUUGUUUCUGUUUUGGUGUUAAAAUACACCUUGUAUCUUGUAAUCCUUGUGUUAUUAUUGUUGGCCAAAAGUUUCUCUCAAAGGGGUCCUCGGGUUCUAAUUGAUUUGUGGACUGUUUUGAGUAGUUUUGAGCCUUCUCUUGUCAUUCCCGUAUCACUACAGGUGCAUUAGUUAGCCCAAAGGAUAUGACUAGGAACUCGUAAUGACCGUACUAUGUUUGAAAAGUUGUCUUGGGUAUGUUAUUCUCUUUGAACCUCAUUUGGUGGUAACCAGACCUUAAAUCAAUCUUUGAAAACCACUUGGCACCUUUCAACUGAUCAAAUAAGUGAUCAAUUCUCGGAAGUGGAUAUGUUCUUAACAGUCACCUUGUUUAGUUGCCUAUAGUCAAUACACAUUCUUAACGAGCUAUCUUUCUUACGCACAAAUAACACUGGUGCGCCCCAAGGGGACACACUAGCCUUAUGAAUCCUUUUUCUAGCAAGUCUUUCAAUUGCUCUUUUAACUCCCGUAACUCUGCCGGGGCCAUUCUAUACGGGGAAAUUGAGAUUGGUUGAGUACCUGGGAUCACAUCGAUACCAAACUCCACUUCUCAUUCUGGAGGUAAACCUGGAAGAUCUUCAGGAAAUAUAUUAGGAAAUUCAUUUACCACUGGAAUGAUUUGAAGAGUUGGUGCCUCCGCAUUUGUAUCCUUCACUCUAACUAGAUGAGAUAUAUAACCCUUAGAAAUCAUCCUUUUUGCCUUAAAAUAAGAAAUAAAUUUACCUCUUGAUGCACCAAUAUUACCCCUCCAUUCAAGGAUUGCCUCUUUUGGAAAAUGGAAAUACACUUUUUUAGUUCGGCACUCCACUGUGGCAUAACAAGAAGCUAACUAAUCCAUACCUAUUAUAGCAUCAAAAUCUACCAUUUCUAACUCAACUAGGUCAGCCAUUAUAUCACGACUACAAAUAGUUAUUAUACAAUUUUGAUACACUCUCUAAACUAUAUUAGAUUCACCAAUCGGCGUAGAUACUUCAAGUGGCUUAACUAGGAAUUCUAAUGUUCUUUUGAACUUUCCAGUAACCAAUGGAGUGACAUAUGAUAAUGUAGAACCUGGAUCAACUAAUGAAUAUACAUCAUGUGAAAAGAUGGACACUGUACCUAUAACCACAUCUGGAGAAACCUCUGAAUUUUGUCGAUCCGCUAAAGCAUAUGUAUGAUUCUGAAUUCCACUAGAGCUAGCUCCUCUGAAUUUUGUCGAUCCGCUAAAGCAUAUGUAUGAUUCUGAAUUCCACUAGAGCUAGCUCCUCCUUUAGCACCUCUACCAUGACCCAUAGGCUGUACACCUCUACCUGAAUAAGGCAUUGAUGAUGAUGAUGCUGGGCUGAUCCAGUAGGUCGUGCCAUACCACCUAUGCCCCUUUGAGGGCAUUCUCUCAUCAUAUAUCCUGAUGUACCACACUAAAAGCAAGCAUUUAUCCCGAACUGAUAUGCACCUAAAUAAAGCUUUCCACAUUGUUUAUAUGGCUGUCGAGGAGGCCUUAAUUGGCUCAUACUCCCUUGCUCUUGAUCCCCCAUUGUUUGUGAACUCUAACUCUCACUUCUUUGUCCAAACUAGUUGUCUUUGGACCCUUGAAACUGUGGUGGAGCACUAACUGCAGAAUAAGAAGAUAAUGGCCUAGGCGGUCUAUUAAAAAAUUGAGGCCUAAGCUCUCCUUGGGAUGCCAUAAAAUACCCCGUAGAUCUAGACCUCUUGGAAUACCCCCUUUCCAAUUCUUGUGUUCUUCUUCUUUGCCUCUGGUCCUCUAUUUUUUGUGCAAAUGCUUGUAUCCUUGCUAUGUCCAUAUGUUUGUUCAAAGCAGCAAUAGUGCAAUCUUUAACCAGAUAGGGAUCCAAUCUAUCCAAUAUCGAUGUACUCUAUUAUCUAUUGUAGCUACUACGUUAGGAGCAUACCUAGCCAAAGAGUUAAACCGGAGGCUAUAUUUCCUCACACUCAUAUUCCCUUGGGGAAGAUUCAGGAACUGAUCUGCACGGGCUUCUCAGAUCUCAAAUGAAAGGUAAUGAUCAAGAAAUACCUCUUUGAACUCAUUCCAAGUAGCUGAAAGUGCAUCGAUACCCCUAUAUCGUUUCUAAUCUUCGUACCAAAGUAUUACCUCCCCUUUCAAUCUAUAUGCUACUAGCUCAACUGUCUCUUUACCCGAUACAUGCAUGAAAUCUAGAGCCCUUUGGAUUUGAUCAAUAAAGUUCUAUGGGUCCUUAUUAAGAUCUGAUCCGGUGAUUGUAGGAGGAUCCAAUUUAAGAAAAUUCUGCGUUCUUAGGCUAGCUGCCCUGUAACAUCCCGUAUCUUGCUUAUACUUAUUCUCAAGUGUUUUCACUUACCUUUUGCUGCAAAAACUAAAGUGUUUUCACUUACCUUUUGCUGCAAAAGUUAGGGUUUCUCCAAGAACCCUAGAAAGGAAAAUAGAGCUGCUCCUAGCUUCUUAAAAGAUAGUAAAGAGAGUUUGUGAAAUGUAACCCUUCUUUAUGACUUAAUAAUGAGGGAAAUGUCCAGCAACUUCUUCUUAUAAAGCCUUUAUUUUUUUGGCCAUCCACUUAGUUGAUUUUGGACCACAAAUUUAAUCAAAUUGGCCCAAGUAGGUGAUGCACCUACUUAAGGAGUUCAAGCAGCUCAAAAUGUCAAAGUAGGUGAUGUACCUACUUGCUUAAUUUCUUAGUUGGGCUCAAUAAUAUUUAGGCCUUGGCAGAUUUGAGCAUUGGACCUUUUUCCCAUUUUUCUUCUUCUUUUACUUAAUUUUGGCCCAAAUAAGUAUUUUAAUAAAGGCCCAAAUCUGAUUCAUGGACUUGGUCCAUUAACUUGGAUCACAUAGCUCAAGUUGGUGACUCACCUACUAGCUUAAUUAAGUCAAGCAAGCACCUCAAUAUUUCCUUCCAUUUCCAGCUCCUAAUCACCUUAAUCUAACUUACAACUUAUACACACUUGGUCACUUUAAACUUUAGAUUCAAAUACCAGCUUGCUAUCCCAGGUUUAAAUGGUUGUAUUGACAUUAACUUGGUUGCAUCACAUUAAACUGUACAAGCAGUUUCACCCACUUCAAACCAUCCAAUUGGUGAUCUACACUUUCUUCCAUACAACUUUAUAUGGUGCCAUUUUGAUACUUGAAUAAUAGCUAUUGUUGUAGGUGAACUCGAUGAGAGGUAGAUGAUCAUCCCAACUACCUUUAAAGUCCAAUACACAAGCUCAUAGCAUAUCUUCAAGUGUUUGAAUGGUACUUUUUUCUUGUCCAUCUAUUUGAGGGUGAAAAGUUGUACUUAGAUUCACUUGUGUCCCCAAAUUUCUCUGAAAAGACUUCCAAAAAUUUGCAGUAAAUUAAGCUCCUCAAUCCAAUAUAAUAGAGAUUGGGAACUCCAUGUAGUCGAACUAUCUCCUUAAUAGAUAACUUAGCAUAUUCUUCAACUAUGUAAGUGGUCCUAACGGGUAGAAAGUGUGCUGAUUUGGUAAGCCUAUCAACUAUCACCCAUAUGGAAUCAAACCUUCGAAAUGUACGAGGCAAAACAGUGACAAAAUCUAUGUUGAUCAUGCCCCACUUCCAGAUUGGAAGAUAUAACAUUGCAUAUAACCCCGGGGCUUUUGGUGCUCUACUUUAACUCUUUGACAAUUUUGACAUUCGGCUACAAAUUUUGCAAUGUUCUUCUUCAUGUUACCCCACUAAUACAUCCCUUUUAAAUCAUGGUCCAUUUUUGUUGACCCUGAAUGGAUAGAAUACCUUGAAUGAUGUGCUUCUAUCAUAAUCCUCUUUCUUAGUCCAUCUACAUUUGGCACACAUAAUCUGUUUUGGCACCGAAGUACUCCUUCUUGCGUAAGCUCUUGCUUUCAUCAUACCACAUUGUACAUUUUCCUUAAGUUUUAAUAGAAUGGGAUCUGCAUAUUGCUUCUCUUUUACUUCAGCUACUAGGGAAGAUUCUGCAACAUUAUAAACAAUAAGCCUUUCAUCUAGAGUUUCAAGAAGGCGAACUCCCAAAUUGGCUAGUUGGUACAAAUCUUUAGUCAUCCCUUGUCUUUCUAUAGAUGGUGCCAUAGUCUUCUGACCUAAUGCAUCUGCCACCACAUUUUCUUUCCCUGGAUGAUACAAGAUAUCAACGUCAUAGUCUUUUAAUAAUUCAAGCUAUCUUCGCCGCCUCAAAUUUAGGUCCUUCUGAUUAAAGAUAUACUGCAAACUUUUGUGCUCAGUGUAUAUGUCAACAUAAAUCCCGUACAGGUAGUGACGCCAUAUCUUUAAGAAAAAUAUAACCGCUGCUAGCUCCAGAUCAUAUGUUGGAUAAUUUUUCUCCUAUGACCGCAAUUGUCUCGAGGCAUAUGCUAUAACUUUACCAUGCUACAUCAAUACAUACCCAAAGCCAAUUCUUGAAGCAUCACAAUACACUGCAUACCCCUCUGUGCCUUUUGGAAGCACCAAUAUAGGUGUAGAAGUCAACUUAUUCUUUAGAUCUUGGAAACUUCUUUCGCAUGCAUCCAUUCCAUUGGAACUUAGAUGCUUUGUGUGUUAGCUUUGUUAAAGGUGUAGAAAUUGAAGAAAAUCCUUCAACAAGCCUUUUAUAAUAACCUGCAAACCCAAGGAAACUAUGAACCUCUAUAGNNNNNNNNNNNNNNNNNNNNNNNNNNNNNNNNNNNNNNNNNNNNNNNNNNNNNNNNNNNNNNNNNNNNNNNNNNNNNNNNNNNNNNNNNNNNNNNNNNNNNNNNNNNNNNNNNNNNNNNNNNNNNNNNNNNNNNNNNNNNNNNNNNNNNNNNNNNNNNNNNNNNNNNNNNNNNNNNNNNNNNNNNNNNNNNNNNNNNNNNNNNNNNNNNNNNNNNNNNNNNNNNNNNNNNNNNNNNNNNNNNNNNNNNNNNNNNNNNNNNNNNNNNNNNNNNNNNNNNNNNNNNNNNNNNNNNNNNNNNNNNNNNNNNNNNNNNNNNNNNNNNNNNNNNNNNNNNNNNNNNNNNNNNNNNNNNNNNNNNNNNNNNNNNNNNNNNNNNNNNNNNNNNNNNNNNNNNNNNNNNNNNNNNNNNNNNNNNNNNNNNNNNNNNNNNNNNNNNNNNNNUUUAAUAUCAAAGAAAAGUGAGCAGAUUUCUUGUUCUAUAUUCUGUCAUAUAUUUAUAAUUAAGCACUUCUAACAUAUUCUCCUAAUCUUCUGUGAGAUAAUUAAACAAAAACUAAAGUAUUUUCACUUACCUUUUGCUGCAAAAGUUAGGGUUUCUCCAAGAAUCCUAGAAAGGAAAAUAGGGUUGCUCCUAUCUUCUUAAAAGAGAGUAGAGAGAGUUUGUGAAUGUAACCCUUCUUUAUGACUUAAUAAUGAGGGAAAUGGCCAGCAAUUUCUUCUUAUAAAGCCUUUAGUUUUUUGGCCAUCCACUUAGCUGAUUUUGGACCACAAAUUUAAUCAAAUUGGCCCAAGUAGGUGAUGUACCUACUUGCUUAAUUUCUUAGUUGGGCUCAAUUAUAUUUAGGCCUUGGAAGAUUUGAGCAUUGGGCCUUUUUCCCAUUGUUCUUCUUCUUUUACUUAAUUUUGGCCCAGAUAAGUAUUCUAAUAAAGGCCCAAAUCUGAUUCAUGGAAUUGGUCCAUUAACUUGGAUCAUAUAGCUCAAGUUGGUGACUCACCUAAGCACUUCAAUAUUUUCUUCCAUUUCCAGAUCCUAAUCACCUUAAUCUAACUUACAACUUAUACACACUUGGUCACUUUAAACUUUAGAUUCAAAUACCAGCUAACGAUCCCAAGUUUAAAUGGUCGUAUUGACGUUAACUUGGUUGCAUCACAUUAAACUGUACGGGCAGCCUCUAUAAUUCCAUCUACACCAUUAAUACUUGCAUAACAAAUCUCAUCCGUUACCUAUACCAUAUGACCAUACCAGGUUCCAUAUAAUUAGAAUAAGUACAAGCAUGAUACAGGAUAUUACAUCCUUCCCCCCUUAGAAACAUUCGUCCUCGAAUGUUAGCAUAACUAUCCAACCAAAAUAAGUUCAAGCCUAAGUUUAAUAUCCCUAUUAUCACAUAGUACCUAUAUAUUUUACACUUACUUGUUAUUGCUCCAAUUCAUUAUCUUGGACUUUUUCUUCGUAUUUGAACAAAUGGGGGUACUUGGAUUUCAUCGCUUCUUUAGCUUCCCAUGUGAUCUCUUCUACUUAUUGAUUCCUCCAAAGCAUUUUUAUACAAGCUAUUUCCUUAUUCCUCAACUUCUUAACCUGUCGAUCUAGAAUAGUAAUAGGUAUUUCUUCAUAGGUAAGAUCUUCUGUAAUUUCUCUGAAAAGACUUUCAAAAAUUUGUAGUAAAUUGAACUCCUCGAUCCGAUAUAAUAGAGGUUGGAACUCCAUGAAGUCGAACUAUCUCCUUAAUAUAUAACUUGGCAUAUUCUUCAACUGUGUAAGUGGUCCUAACCGGUAGAAAAUGUGCUGAUUUGGUAAGCCUAUCAACUAUCACCCAUAUGGAAUCAAACCUUUGAAAUGUAUGAGGAAAACCAGUGACGAAAUCCAUGUUGAUCAUGUCCCACUUUCAGAUUGUACGAUCUUUAUGACAUAUAAUCCCCGGGNNNNNNNNNNNNNNNNNNNNNNNNNNNNNNNNNNGCUACAAAUUUUGCAAUGUUCUUCUUCAUGUCACCCCACCAAUACAUCCCUUUCAAAUCAUGGUACAUUUUUGUUGACCCUGGAUGGAUAGAAUACCUUGAAUGAUGUGCUUCUGUCAUAAUCCUCUUUCUUAGUCCAUCUACAUUCGGCACACAUAAUCUAUUUUGGGACCGAAGUACUCCUUCUUGUGAAAGCUCAAAUGCUUUUUUCAUACCACAUUGCACAUUUUCCUUUAGCUUUAAUAGAAUGGGAUCUGCAUAUUGCUUCUCUUUUACUUUAGCUACUAGGAAAGAUUCUGAAGCAUUAUAAACAAUAAGCCCUUCAUCUGGAGUUUCAAGAAGGAGAACUCCCAAAUUGGCUAGUUGGUACAAAUCUUUAGUCAUCCCUUGUCUUUCUAUAGAUAGUGCCAUAGUAUUCUGACUUAAUGCAUCUGCCAUCACAUUUGCUUUCCCCAAAUGAUACAAGAUAUCAAUGUCAUAGUCUUUUAAUAAUUUAAGUCAUCUUCGCUGCCUUAAAUUUAGGUCCUUCUGAUUAUAGAUAUACUGCAAACUCUUAUAGUCAGUGUAUAUGUCAACAUGAAUCCCGUACAGGUAGUGACGCCAUAUCUUUAAGGCAAAUAUAACCGUUGCUAGCUCCAGAUCAUGUGUUGGAUAAUUUUUCUCAUAUGGCCGCAAUUGUCUCGAGGCAUAUGCUAUGACUUUACCAUGCUGCAUCAAUACACACCCUAAGCCAAUUUUUGAAGCAUCACAAUACACUGCAUACCCCUCUGUGCCUUCUAAAAGCACCAAUACGAGUGUAGAAGUCAACUUAUUCUUCAGAUCUUGAAAACCUCUUUCGCAUGCAUCAUUCCAUUGGAACUUAGAUGCCUUGUGUGUUAGCUUUGUUAAAGGUGAAGAAAUUGAAGAAAAACCUUCAACAAACCUUUCAUAAAAACCUGCCAACCCAAGGAAACUACGAACCUCAUUAGAAGUUAUAGGUCUUGGCCAGUUCUUCACGGCUUCUAUCUUUUGAGUAUCAAAUUUUAUUCCUUCAUCAGAUACAAUAUGACCUAAGAAUGCCACAGAUUUUAACCAAAACUCACAUUUAGAGAAAUUUGCAAAUAGCUUACGAUCAUGUAGAAUCUGCUUGACCUAUCAUAAGUGAUUGGCAUGGUCCUCAUUUGAUCAUAAAUAAACUAGAAUAUCAUCUAUAAAAACUAUCACAAACACAUCCAAGAAUGGCUUGAACACCCUAUUCAUCAAAUCCAUAAAAGCUGCAGGUGCAUUAGUUAGCCCAAAGGAUAUGACUAGCAACUCGUAAUGACCAUACCAUGUUCGAAAAGCUGUCUUGGGUAUGUCAUUCUCUUUGAACCUCAUUUGGUGGUAACCAGACCUUAAAUCAAUCUUCGAAAACCACUUGGCACCUUGCAACUGAUCAAAUUAAUUCUCGGAAGGGGAUAUUUGUUCUUAAUAGUCACCUUGUUCAGUUGUCUAUAGUCAAUACACAUUUUUAACGACCCAUCCUUCUUACACACAAAUAACACUGGUGUGCCCCAAGGGGACACACUAGGCCAUAUGAAUCCUUUUUCUAGCAAGUCUUUCAAUUGCUCUUUCAACUCCCAUAAUUCUGCUGGGGCCAUUCUAUACGGAGGAAUUGAGAUUGGUUGAGUACCUGGAAUCACAUCGAUACCAAACUCCACUUCUCGUUCUGGAGGCAAACCCGAAAGAUCUUCAGAAAAUACAUCAGGAAAUUCAUUUACCAGUGGAAUAGUUUGAAGAGUUGGUGUCUCCGCAUUUAUAUCCUUCACUCUAACCAGAUGACAUAUGUAACCCUUGGAAAUCAUCCUUUUUUCCUUAAAAUAAGAAAUAAAUUUACCUCUUGGCGCACCAAUAUUACCUUUUAAUUCUUGGACUGCCUCCCUUGGGAAAUGGAAACACACCCUCUUGGUUCGGCAAUCUACUGUGGCAUAACAAGAAGCCAACCAAUCCAUACCCAUUAUAGCAUUAAAAUCUAUCAUUUCUAACUCAACCAGGUCAGUCAUUGUAUCACGACCGCAAAUAGUUAUUAUACAAUUUUGAUACACUCUCUUAGCUAUAACAGAUUCACCAAUCAGCAUAGAUACUUCAAAUGGCUUAACUAGCAAUUCUGGUGUUCUUUUGAAUUUUCCAGCAACCAAUGGAGUGACAUACGAUAAUGUAGAACCCAGAUCAACUAAUGCAUAUACAUCAUGUGAAAAGAUGGACAAUGUACCUGUAACCACAUUUGGAGAAGCCUCUGAAUUUUGUUGAUCUGCUAAAGCGUAUGUACGAUUCUGAUCUCCACUAGAGCUAGCUGCUCCUUUAGCACCUCUACCAUGACCCAUUGGCUGUACACCCCUACCUGAAUAAGGCACCAAUGAUAGUGAUGCAACGGCUAAUCCAGUAGGUCGUGCCAUACCACCUAUGCCCCUUUGAAGGCAUUCUCUCAUUAUAUGUCCUGACAUACCACACCAAAAGUAAGCAUUUGUUUCAAACCAAAAUGCACCUAAAUGAAGCUUUCCACAUUGUCUACAUGGCUGUCGAGGAGGCCUUAAUUGGCUCAUAAUCCCUUGCUCUUGAUACCCUGUUGUUCGCGAACUCUGUGUAGUAUCUCGUAUCUUGCUUGUACUUUUUCUAAUUAUAUGAAACCUGGUAUGAUCAUAUGGUAUAGGUAACGGAUGAGAUUUGUUAUGCAAGUAUUAAUGGUGUAGAUGGAAUUAUAGAGGCUGCCCGUACAGUUUAAUAUGAUUCAACCAAGUUAACGUCAAUACGACCAUUUAAACUUGGGAUCGUAAGCUGGUAUUUGAAUCUAAUCUUUAAAGUGACCAAGUGUGUAUAAGUUGUAAUUUAGAUUAAGGUGAUUAGGAGCUGGAAAUGGAAGGAAAUAUUGAGGUGCUUGCUUGACUUAAUUAAGCUAGUAGGUGAGUCACCUACUUGAGCCAUAUGAUCCAAGUUAAUGGACCAAGUCCAUGAAUCAGAUUUGGGCCUUUAUUAGAAUACUUAUUUGGGCCAAAAUUAAGUAAAAGAAGAAGAAAAAUGGGGAAAAGGCCCAAUGCUCAAAUCUGCCAAGGCCUAAAUAUAAUUGAACUCAACUGAGAAAUUAAGCAAGUAGGUGCAUCAUCUACUUUGACAUUUUGAGCUGCUUGAACUCCUUAAGUAGGUGCAUCACCUACUUGGGCCAAUUUGAUUAAAUUUGUGGUCCAAAAUCAGCUAAGUGGAUGGCCAAAAAAAUAGAGGCUUUAUAAGAAGAAGUUUCUGGCCAUUUCCCUCAUUAUUAAGUCAUAAAGAAGGGUUACAUUUCACAGACUCUCUCUACUUUCUUUUAAGAAUCUAUGAGCAUCCCUAUUUUCCUUUCUAGGGUUCUUAGAGAAACCCUAACUUUUGCAGCAAAAGGUAAGUGGAGAAUCAAUGGCACCUUAGCUUUCGCCGACAUCAUUCAAAGUUGCUAUGUGAAGAAUCAAGCUUUGGUCUAGGAGCAGCCCUAUUUUCCUUUCUAGGGUUCUUGGAGAAACCCUAACUUUUGCAGCAAAAGGUAAGUGAAAAUACUUUAGUUUUUGUUUAAUUAUCUCAUAGAAGAUUAGGAGAAUAUGUUAGAAGUUCUUAAUUAUAAAUAUAUGACUUAGAAGUUCUUAAUUAUAAAUAUAUGACAGAAUAUAGGACAAGCAAUCUGCUCACUUUUCUUUGAUAUUAAAGAACUUCUCUUUUCUUCUUUGGUUUAAAAUGUGAAGGAAAUUUCAAGUUCUUGAAGAGUUCAAUUAAAGGAAUAAGUUGCAGAAUUGAGGUAAGGUGACUGCUCCAUUUUGUUCUCCUUGUAUAUGAAUUUGAAAGAGUUAUGGAUGUGUUGUUAUUGAGAACUCAAGAGAUGAUGAGUUCAAUAAUGGGUUGCUACAAUAAGAGUGAUUUGGGACUAUUUUGUGAACUGUUUUGUAUGUUCAAUGGGCUGCCAUUUUGAUAUUGGAGAAGGGUGUGAUUAGUUUGUAAUGAAAUAUAGAAGAAAGGUGUGGUGGUAUACCACCAAACUAAUUAUUGCCCUUGUUUACUCCCAAUGUGUUUUGUGUGUUGUUUGGAGGGUGUAAUGAAGCUGAGAAAUUUCCGGUGAUCUUAUAAGGACAUGUAUGGUAUGUGGGUGAAAUUGGAGGAAAAAAAGGCUAAAAUAACGUCCUUGAUUGACAGAUUACGUGUUUGCUGCCCAGUUACUGUUUUGAUGAAGUUAAGUAGCCUAAAUGUGUUGGUUGGUUGCUGAUACUAGUUUACCAUAUAUUCUAUUGUAGAUAAGUAAUAUAAGAGGCGAGAAUUCAAGUCGGGUUAGUUUCGGAGCUAUAUAACCAGGUAUGUAAGGCAUACUCCGUUUUGUACUCUUUGGCAUGAAAUCAAACAUUUGUUCCACCAAGUAAGUUUCCAAGGUUGUCCUAUAAUAAAGUGAUACAUAAUGGCAGCACAUUACACUCCAUGUAUCCAAUGACCUUUUUCCCACUCUGUAACACAUUAGAACACCUCAAUACGUGCUUAUUAUUAAAUUUGCGCGUCUAUCUUCACUAGAAAAUUUCAACAAAUCUGUAAAAUGAUGAGUGGCAGCUCAGGGGCAUUUGCCUAGCAUGAGCCGAUCUCGAUACCUUUAUUUGUGGGUGGCAGCUCAGGGGAAUAAGCCUAGCAUGGGUCGAUCCCAAUCUUUAUAUGUAGGUGGCAGCUUAGGGGCGUAAGCCUAGCAUGGGCCGAUCCUAAUUUAUCUAUUUACCACUGAUCAGCUUGUCAUUUGCAUUAUAUGGCUUACAAAAUUAUGAAGUAAAAAGGUAAAACAAAGAAAGAAUGUAAUGUACAUUGUCCCACAAGUAUUUAUAAAGGUGGUCUACUAGUACUACUUAUACACUUGUAUCAGAUUUCUAUUGAGCUUUUGUAUCAAGUGUGUUGUUACCUUCUGCCUUACAUAUUUAGUAUAUAUUUUUUUACUGACGUCCCUCACGGAGACCUGCAUUUCAUACUGCAGGCACAGGUACUUCAGGUCAUACACCUCACUCGUAGGAGCACAGGCUAUUCUAUGCAUAUUGGUGAGCUCUAGGUUGAUUCGGAGUUUUUCGACUCUGUUCCAUAUGUUUAGGUAUUGUGCAGUAGGUUAAGAGUAGGAUUGGGGAGGGGGGGGUUGUACCAAUCCUAACUAAGUCUAUGUAUCUUUUAGAGGCUUUGUAGACUAAUGUAAAGUUAUGGUAGUGUCCUGAUUUUAGACAUGGUGGCCCCAUCGGCCAAGUGUUGUACAUAUCAGUUUGUGCGUGCAUGUGUAGUUAUUUUCAUUGAUACAUAAUAAUAUCAUGUUGUCAAAACAUUUGGUUGUCACAGUUACAUGCAUGGGAAGUACAAGUUUAUGAAUUGGUUCUCUUAGGUCUUUACGGUUACGGGUGCCUGUCCUCCCCAAUAGGAUUUAAGGUGUGACACGUACAUACGCUUUAGCAGAUCGACAAAAUUCAAAGGCUUCUCCAGAUGUGGUUACAGGUACAUUGUCCAUCUUUUCACAUGAUGUAUAUGCAUUAGUUGAUCCGGGUUCUGCAUUAUCGUAUGUCACUCCAUUGGUUUCUAAAAAGUUCAAAAGAACACCAGAACAACUCGUAAGGCUUAUUUCUGAAAGCACCCAUAUCAUACUAGUAUUUAGAAAGGAAAUGGACAGAUCUAGUAACAAACAUAUCUUUAGGUACUUUAACAACCUGAUAAGUUAGAAUAAGGUUGUUAACCACCUUGGGGGUUGUACGCUGUAGUUAUGCAUAACUUGAAAGGAAGAACGCUUAGGAAGCUUACUUUGUAACAAAGGAGUUAGAUUCAUGCCAAAGAGUAGGAUCGAUGAACCAUACAUACCUUGCGGCACAACUGAUCACACUUUCACUUAACGUCUUUCCUUUUAGAUUACUAAUCUACAAUAGCAUAAGACUAGUAUUAGUAGAUAAUUAAUAUAUUCACGCCAUUUAAACUUACUAAAACAGUAACCAGGCAGUAAUCCAUAAUCAACUAAUCCAAAGGUGUUCUCUCAACCUCGUUCUUCUCCAAUUACAUUCACACGUGAUGUAACUUUUUAUAAGAUCCCUUUAACAGUUUUAUCUUUAUUGUACUCUCAAAACAGUAUAUCAAGUGAUGUGGGCAGUAAACUUAUGCGACAUUCAAUUUGGUGGUGUAUCAUUGUACUCUUCUUCUACCUUUCAAUGGAAAUUAUUGACACCAUUCCCCCAACGUCAACCGAGCAUCCCCCAACAUACAUACAUAAAACAGAUCCAAAACAGCCCCAAAUACCCCUUAAUAUGGCAACCAGAAAUUGAACUCACCAUCCCUUGAGUUCUUAACAACAACAUAUACACAAUCCUUAACCAACACACGUAUAUAGGAAAAGGGAAAAAAUGGACAGUAGCCAUACCUUAAUUUCGGUGGUAGUUUAUUCCCUUAAUGUAUAUCUCUUCAAUAACUUGAUCCCUUCACUCACAAACCAAAAGUGAAGAGAAAAAUCUCUUAAUAAUCAAGGAUAAAGGGAUUGCCAAACUUAAAAAGGGAUAUCUUCUAGUUUAAUCAUGGAGAACAUAAUCCUUAUAGUGUUCUUAAGAUGUGCUCAUGAUUUGUUCACUUACCUUUAANNNNNNNNNNNNNNNNNNNNNNNNNNNNNNNNNNNNNNNNNNNNNNNNNNNNNNNNNNNNNNNNNNNNNNNNNNNNNNNNNNNNNNNNNNNNNNNNNNNNNNNNNNNNNNNNNNNNNNNNNNNNNNNNNNNNNNNNNNNNNNNNNNNNNNNNNNNNNNNNNNNNNNNNNNNNNNNNNNNNNNNNNNNNNNNNNNNNNNNNNNNNNNNNNNNNNNNNNNNNNNNNNNNNNNNNNNNNNNNNNNNNNNNNNNNNNNNNNNNNNNNNNNNNNNNNNNNNNNNNNNNNNNNNNNNNNNNNNNNNNNNNNNNNNNNNNNNNNNNNNNNNNNNNNNNNNNNNNNNNNNNNNNNNNNNNNNNNNNNNNNNNNNNNNNNNNNNNNNNNNNNNNNNNNNNNNNNNNNNNNNNNNNNNNNNNNNNNNNNNNNNNNNNNNNNNNNNNNNNNNNNNNNNNNNNNNNNNNNNNNNNNNNNNNNNNNNNNNNNNNNNNNNNNNNNNNNNNNNNNNNNNNNNNNNNNNNNNNNNNNNNNNNNNNNNNNNNNNNNNNNNNNNNNNNNNNNNNNNNNNNNNNNNNNNNNNNNNNNNNNNNNNNNNNNNNNNNNNNNNNNNNNNNNNNNNNNNNNNNNNNNNNNNNNNNNNNNNNNNNNNNNNNNNNNNNNNNNNNNNNNNNNNNNNNNNNNCCAUCACCAAUCACAUAGGAUAUCCGAGCCCAUUGCCUACCCCAUAAGUCCAUAUCAAGUGCCACAUAAGUAGAACUAGUACACGCGGAAUAUAGGGUGUUACAUCCUACCCCCCUUAGAAACAUUCGUCCUCGAAUGCUAGCAUAACUAGAUAGCCUAAAUGAAUAUAAGACUAAGUUUAAACUCAUUAUUAUCCAUAUAACACUUGUGUAUUUAUACUUAAUUGUUUAUGCCCCAAAUCAGCAUCCUUAGACCAAGUCUUUAGAUUCAAAUAAAUAAGGGUACUUUGACUUCAUUGCUUCUUCGUCUUACCAUGUGAUUUCUUCUACUUGCGGGCUCCUCCAAAGCACUUUUACUGAAGCUACUUCUUUAUUUCUUAACUUCUUAACUUGCUGAUCUAGUAUAGCAGUAGGCACUUCUUCAUACAUGAGUUCUUCCGUAACCUGCACAUCUUUAGUAGGAGUAAUAUGAGAUGGAUCUUCUAUGCACUUGCAGAGCAUUGAGACAGGAAACACCGGAUGCACCAUUGAAAUAUCUUGGGGUAGGUCUAACUCACAUGCCACUUGGCCAAAUCUUUGAAUAAUUUUAUAUGGCCCUAUGUGGCGGGGACUUAGUUUCCCUUUUUACCAAACCUCAUUACCCCUUUCAUUGGAGAUACCUUCAAGAACACCCAAUCUCCUAUAGCAAACUCUAACCCUCUUCUUCUAGUAUCCACAUAUGAUUUAUGUCAGCUUUGAGCUAUUUCUAAUCAUUGUUGUAUCACCUUAACUUUUUCUAUAGCUUGAUGAACAAGAUCUGGACCAAAUAAGGCAGAUUCACCUAAAGCUUCAUAAGGCGCCAUUUUGAUACUCGAGUGAUAACUAUUAUUGUAUGCAAACUCAAUUAGUGAAAAAUGAUCAUCCCAACUACCUUUGAAGUCCAAUACACAAGCACACAACAUAUCCUCUAAUGUUUGGAUUGUACGCUCCACCUGGCCAUCUGUUUGAGGGUGAAAAGCUGUGCUUAAACUCACUUGCGUUCCCAAACUCUUCUGGAAUGACUUCCAAAAAUGUGCGAUAAAUUGAGCUCCCCUAUCAGAUAUAAUAGAUAUUGGGACUCCAUGCAGCCUAAAUAUCUCUUUAAUAUAUAAUUUUGCAUACUCUUCAGCUGUGUACGUAGUCUUAACCAGUAGAAAGUAUGCUGAUUUGGUGAGUCUAUCAACUAUUACCCAUAUAGAAUCAAACUUUUGAGACGAGCGAGGUAGACCAGUGAUGAAAUGCAUGUUGAUCAUAUCCCACUUCCAAGUUGGGGGCUCCAUAAGCUGCAUAUAACCUCCUGGCUUUUGGUGCUCCACUUUGACUUGUUGAUAAUUUGAACAUUCUGCUACAAAUUCUGCAAUGUUCUUCUUCAUGUCUCCCUACCAAUAAACCUCUUUCAAGUCAUGAUACAUUUUACUUGAACCAGGAUGGAUAGAAUAUCUUGAAUGAUGUUCCUCCAUCAUAAUCUUCUUUCUUAGCCCAUCUAUAUUAGGUACACAUAAUCUAUUUUGGCAUCGAAGUAUUCCCUCUUCUGUAAGCUCAAAUGCCUUUGUUACACAUUGUUGUACAUUUUCCUUAAGCUGUAAAAGAAUAGGGUCUAUGUAUUGUUUCACUUUAACUUCAGCUACUAAUGAGGAUUCUGCUGCAUUUUGCACAAUAACGCCUUUAUCUGAAGAUUCAAUAAGGCGAACCCAUAAGCUAGCUAAUUGGUGUAGAUCCCUAGUAAAUUAUUCCACCUAUGAUAUAGAGUUAUACCCCUUGAUUAUAGCCUUAAGUAAUUGGUAAAAUUAUUUGUGGCCCAAGGAGUUUGUGAUUUAAACCGAUCAUGAGUACUUGAAACACCUUCGAGCCCAAGAUAAACUUAAUAAAGACAUGCCAUGUGGAUUGCUUUCCAAGAAACUUUUUCUUAUUGAUAGAAGAAUGACCUAAAGAGAUGAAGACUAAGAGAAACAAGAGAACAAACAAAUGCAAUAAAGUAAGAUAGAUAGCUUUACAUACGAGAUUACGGGAAAUAGGAACCAAAUCGGGUAUCAAAGGAUAAGACCCUUAAGACCCGCAAUUACAACACCAAACUCUUACGGUGACCACUAAGGGAAUCAACUCUUCCUUACAACCACCGUUUCUAAGAAAAGAUCAAUAAUGGCUUUUCUAAGCCCUACUCUACUUGACUUUUCAAAGCCUACACUACACUUUCUCAGAGAGAAGAAGAAGUCUUUCAAAUAUCAAUAAUCAACUAAUGAGAAAAUAAGCCUAAAGAGUUUAUUUAUAGCUUAUUACAUAAAAUACCAAAAUACCCUUAAUGAAAAAGGGCUCCUAUGGAGUGUAAAGAAAUGGCACAAAAAGACUAAAACACCCUUAAUAAGUGUUUACACUCCAAGGUCGUCCCACUAAUGCUUCGUGGGUCCCUUUUUCUUCAAGAUUCAAAUGUGAAACCUCUUGGAACCCUUUGGUAGGCAUCAACACAAGUUCUAAGUAAUCUUCUAAACAUGGUUUUGCUCUACUAUAAUCUCAAAAUGAGUACUCCGUGUAUGUCCUUGUACCCUCAAUAUGACCAAAGCUUGAAUCUUCAUGUAUGGGCCUCGAAUGAUGUCAUCAAAAGCUAUGAUGGACCUUUGGCUUAUAUCAUCCUCCCCUUCUUGAAAAGGAUUCGACCUCGAAUCCAUCCCUUACAAAACCAAAGAAAGGACAAACAAGCACAACAUCCUCAUGGCAUGAGGUUUAGGGUUAGUACAACAAAUAACAUCAUCAUUCUAAGGGGGUACACACUUGAAAUAUAACCAUGAAUUCUUUAUUUUAGUCAUGAAAAGCUUAGUGAAAAUGUCACAAAGGAUAUGGCUAUGACAAGUAUCAAGAGAUAAAGAAACUACAAAGGUCUUAAUGGUAUCACUAAAGCCAAAAAGUAAGACUACCUUUACUUAGAAACCACAAGACACAAUUAUUUCAUUACCUCUUCAAGUGUCCUCAUCAAAAGUGGUUCCACUAUUGGUAUUAUAGUCCACCAAACCCACAUAGCAUUGUCAUUCAAAUAAGUGGACCAACCAACAUGUUCCCUACAUCUACAUAAUAUAAGUCCAAAACUAGUAUGGAUGUCAUCAUAGGUAAAAGGGUAGUAUAGAAAGGAAUCAAGUGUAAAGGCAUCAUCCAAGGCAUUUUCAUCUAUAAGAAUGCAAUUUGGCCCAUAAGAUAUGACACAUAAAGCACACAAGGAUAGAUUUAAGGCACUAAAGCACAUAUGACCUCUUUCUUUUAAGUAAAGUAUCAACUUGGCAUCCACAAGUUGGGAAUCAUGCAACUUAAGCACAAAGUGUGUCAAGCAAGGAUUCACAUUUAGUAACAUUACCCCAAGAAGACAAUGACACCUUUGCCCUCGAGUUUUCACAAAUGUCACUUUGCUUGUCAUGUAGACCAAGCAAUAAUUUGGGUAUGCCAACAUCAUAAUAUCUACAUUUGGCACUCGGGUUAAAUAGAAAGAGUGGCCAUAGACAUGGGUCUAGACAACACUCUUUUUCCCCAUAGGCUUCACCCAAUCUAAAAGACACACUCUCUAUAAUAGCAUAGACAUCAUCAAAAGCAAAUAAAGAAUAGAGAAAGGUAUCACUCAAGUCAACUUCAACUAAGGUGUCCUCAUGUAUGUAUCACUACUAGUUUCAAAAUCAUCACCAUGAGUACUCUCAAUAAUAAGGUCACUGAUACAAGCAUAAGAAGAACCAAGAGCACAAGACCUUUUACAAGGAAUCAAGUCAAAGAGCUACAUGGUCUUCAAGCAAUGUUCACGAAGUUGGAAGCUUGUGAUUGUUUCAUGAGUUCACCUAUUGGAGUAUAUAUGCUAAAGUGUGAAGAGGAGCUUUGAAAUACACUCCAAAGCCUCCUCUAUUUGGGGGUUCAUUAAAGGCAUUCUUGUCUUUUAAUGACCUAUUUUUACACUCCAAAGGAGCACCCUUCAUUAAGGGUAUUUUUGUCAUUAUUUGUAAUAAGUAUAAAUAAACCCUUUAGCUUGUAUUUUCAUUAGACUUUGAUGAAUUGAAAUUGAGUAUUACUCAUAUUUUGUAGCUUUAGUCUUGUAGUUGUAUCUCUUAGAACCAAAACUUGGUCCAUGAACAUUUGAAAGUUAGGAUUUUCACUUUUCUUGGAUGAUUUGACAAGAAAGGUGUGCUUGAGGAAGUGUGUUUGAAGAUUUGAAACAUCUUCUAGUGCUGAUCAUUGAAUAAGAGUAAGGGUCUUUCUAUCUAUCCUUUAAUUUCAAGCAUUCUUCUUCUUUAUCUCCUUCUAGUGUGUUGAUUUUCCCUAUGUUACUUGCUGAUUUUUGCAUUCUUGUGUCAAUUUCGUGUAUUCAUAGACAUUUAGGCUAUCAUUUGGUAUCAACGCCUUGUUUAGGGGUGUUCCUACAUCUCUAAAUCUUGGUUUUAGUAUUAUUAUAUCGAAAAUCUCAUUAAAAAAGAGUCAAAAAUCCAAAAAUCUCAAAAAAAAUUGUGUUGUCUUGUGUGUUUAUUGUAGAUCCAAAAAUUCCAACUUAGAUCUACAAGUUUUUACUUUUUUUAAAGGUUUCUUGUGUUAGAUUCUUGUUUCCUAACACCUAGGGAGUCUAGAUCUACUUUUAGAUUGAAGUUUGGUUGAGAUUGAUCUUAGAAUCCACCAUGGCUAUGGAGUUUUGAAGCUGUUUGAGCUAUGGACAUUUUUGGCAUGGUGAUUUAGGCAUGAUUUGUGGAUGGUUUUAUGUUGGUUGUGUUUGUCUUAACCUAAGGAACCUAGAUAUACCAAAAAAAUCCAAAUUUGGGGUUCAUUUGAUAGAAGGCCAAACUUUGGUCAACUCUUGAAUAUUCAUCUUGUUCUUCAAUCUUCAUCAUACCUUGUUUGAGAAGAAUUUUCAAAGGUGUUGUUUGAUUCAAAAGAGGGAAGGAAGAGGGAGAAAAAGUUGUUUGUCCAAAAGCAUAUUCCAUUCUUCCAAAAGGAGGAGGGGACAAGGGGACAAAUAAAGUACAAGUGCAAUUACUAGGGGGGACCAUUUCAUUUCAUUUUUCAUUUGAGACUUGAAAGAACCCUAAAUUGCCUCAUUCCAUCCCUAAAUCCGAAAUUAUCAUUCCCAAAGGGUAGUGUUUGGCCAAAAUUAAGUUUUGAAAAAAUUUGAAAAUUUUGAAAAGUGACAACCAAGCACGAAGUGCCACAUCAUCAUUUGUGCUUAACCAAAAUUCGACUCUAAACUUAGAUUUCUUAGUUUCUAAUUUUUGAUUCUAGUUUAUUUAAGCUAAUUCUAUCACUAAUUAACAAACUAGUUAAUUAGAUUAGAGUUCGUUUAUUUCGUGUCUUCAAUUUUUGUGUGUUUUUCUCAUUUUUAAAUUCGUAGUAUUUUGUUGGUUCAAGUGCGUGCAUCACUUUAUUUGAGUUGUAUCAAUCCAAGAUCAAUUCCGAUCCAAAGCUUCUCACCUCUCAAGUAACUUGCCAAGUAUUGCCGAUUCUCCAACACUUGUGAAACCAAGUGUGAGGUGUGGUUGAGUGUGAGUGAAGUGAGGCUUUUGAACUAACUCGUUUGUUCAUUUUGUAGGUUAUUUUGCUUGCUAUUUUUUGCACUUUGUAGGUACAUUUUUCCAUGGAAUCCGAGGAUACUACUUCCCAAUCUUUGGGAAAUGAUGCUAUUGGAGCCUUGAUGGCUCAAAUUGAGGCCUUGGGUCGAGACAUGAAGAGUAAACAUGAUGCCUUGGCCCAAAAAAUGGAAGUUAGUCAUAAUGCCUUGAAGUUAGUCAUGAUGCCUUGUGGAAUGAUAUGGAUGCUAUGAAGGGUCACAUGACUAGAAUAAAGCGGGGGUAGAUAGACUAUGUCCACCAAACCCUUCACAAGUCCAAAGAUCCUACACUUCACAAAAUCCAAUGCCUCCUCUCCACAAGUUAGAAUCCAAAGAGAAUGAGGGCAAACCUCAAGAUGGAGAGAAACUUGAGGGUGAGAUACAAAAAUAGUAUAAAAAAAAGAGGGAAAAGUAAAAGGAAGCCGUGGGUAGUGAUGUUAGGAUGGAAGAAAAAUGCUUGAUUGUGGAUCUUGUCCACAAAGAAUCCUUAUUACUCACUAACCCAAAUAAUAGAAUUUUGCCUAGUAUUCUACCUUCUCAUGUGCAGGUUCAAGACCCUAGAUGUCCCAAGGAGAAGCCCAAGGAAGUUCCCUUCAAGCCCUUGGCCAAAAGUCCCUAUUUGGGAACAAGCGAUGAAGAAGUGAAUCCAAAGGGAAACCUUGACCUAUUCCCUUGUAAUGUGGGGCAUGAGGG
rnacentral:lncRNA from 1 species